UUUUUUUUUGUCAGUUCCUUUGGAUUAGUUGUUGCCUGAUUUGAUUCAUAGCGAUCCUACUCUCUUUUUUCCGUUACUGUCUGCAAUAUAAUUUUUAUCGAUCAUAUAUACGAAAUCACACUGUAACAAUGAGCUUGAGAAUCCUAUUAAAAUUUAUUCUAACACAUUACUCUAAAAUAUCCUCAACAUUCAUUAUGGAAGUGUCAGCCAUAGUGGAAAGUGGAAACCGAUAAAUUUGUUCAAAUUGGUGACAGUCGAGAGAGAGGCAAGUCAAAUUGUCAAGAUUCAAUUUGCAUCUAGGAUUAAUUUCCCUUCAAAUGAUUACCAAUUGGCACGCGAGUUCAAACGGUUUAGUACAAAGAUUUGGUUAAUACGAUUCAUGCCAUUACAAUUUCCACCACUGAGGUACAAAUCCUAAUCGCGUAAUUAAAAUGGCUAACAAAUUUUCACGUAAAGAAACUAUCUAUCUAACCAUGCAUUGAACAGCAUCAUGAUCGCGUUCUCUCGGGGCGGGGGCUGUAGCGCUGCUGUUGCUACGUGCCAUCUCUCUCAAGUCUUCUUCACGAUGAAAACGUGCAGAGGGCUCUCGUCGAAUAUGGUCGUGCCGAGGAGCCGGAACGCGCGCUGCUUGAAUGCCCAGAUGUCGACGACGUCGUGCUCCUUGAAGCUGCACCGCCGGAUGUAGUCCAUGUACCCUCCCCCCUUGACGAUCGUGCCAUGGCUGCUCGACCACCGCGACAGCAGCAGCUCCCCGCUUGCGCCGGCGGCGAGGUCCACCAGCUUGACGGGCAGGCCGCCGUGCACCUUCCCCCUCCUCUUCCUCUUCUUCCUCCCCUGCUCCUGCUCCCCCUCUUUGUCCGCGGCGGCGUCGUCUUCCUUGGGCUGCUGCGUCGACUUGGACACUGGAUCUUCGAGCAGGUUGGCGGAGUCGAGCUCGUCGACGGUCAGGAUCGAGCGGAGGCGGCCCAGGGCGCCUUCGGACGGGAUGCGGAACCGGUUCUGCUGCGGGUUGAGGUCGGUGUCCGUCACCCGCUUCCUGUCGAUGAAGUGCACGGGCAGGUCCUCCCGGAGCCCCAGCGCCGGGAGGAUAUGCUUGCGCAGGCACGCGAGCUCCUCCGGGGGGAUAGGGGGCGCCGGCGCCGGCGCGCGCCGCGGCCGGGGCGGCGCCAUCGCGUUCAGGGGAACGGCAUUUAUGGGUUCCGCGCCCGCGGGCUGGGCCGCGUCGUACGGGACCACAGCGCCGGCGCCCGCCGCCGGCCGCGCCCGCUUGGCGUCACGCUGCUGCGCGGCGGCGGGGUCGUAGACGACCAUGGCGAGGGUCCUCUUGCCCAUCUUCUUCGUCAGAACAGAGAACGCACGAGGACGAGUUCGUUUCCCUUCUCGUGCGCUUGGAUUGGAGGAAUCUGAAUGCGCGUCGUGGAAUUGAGAUCGAAUGUCUGAGGCAUGGCGAGCCGCGCCCUGUCUGUUUAUACUGCUUGGCCGCGCCAUUCGACACCGAGUCGAACUCGCAGUCCGACCUCCGCGCGUCGUUCGUGGCCGUCGGCGGAGGCAACAGCUGUUGAAGUAGUUCGUAUCGGGAAUGGCUGAGGCAUCCGUGUCCGAUGCGUUUUUUGGAAAGAAAUUGAAUCCGAGGCCCAGAUGUGCUUCUUUUUGGAAGAAUUCCGAGCCCGACACUGACACGGAAAAUUUGCGGCGGCGAGGACGUAAUUGGGCCCACUUUUGUGAAUGUUGCUUUCCUAUAGUCUCGUACUCUCAACAGUCUUGUUCUCACACCUAUCCUUCUUUUCCUACUCACUAACCAUUCGUACGUGCAUGAUUGUAUACAGAAGCUACUUGCUUGGCCGGUUAGCUCCUGCUUCUGCUUAUUGUCUUCAAAAUAUAAAGUGUUUUAGUUAUCAUAAAUCAAGCUCCUCUAUUUUACUAAAGUUUGAAAAUACACCAACACCUACAAUAUUAAAAUAUGUCUUACCUUCCAUUUAUUUGGGAUAGUAGAUUUUUAAUAUAUUUUCUCUAUAUAAACCUUGGCAAAAUUAAAUAAGUUUGUCCUGCGAGAAAAUGAAAACGUAUUAUAUUUACAAACAUAGAGUAUAAAUUUUUAUGACAAUGUGGGUCGAUAAAAUUGUUUGGCUACUGGCUCUAGCUUAUGAUUUUUGACAAUGUAGGUUCAUAAGAGGGUUUGUUUUGCUCGCAAAGAAAAGAUGGUUUGUUUUGUUCUCGAUAUCAAAGGAGAGAUAAGACCAAUUGUUGGAGGAAUCAGUCUCAUCCCCUGACCUCAAAGGAUCACUCAAAUAGAAGGUCACAUGACAAGGGCUAUAGCUAGGGUAGUCAACGACAGUGUAAGUCUUUAAGACUUCCAAUGAAAGAGUCAGACUCAUGAAGGUUGACCAAGGGUCCACGAGAUCAUGGAACUCACAAGAAGAGUACCUAUAGGCCAUAGGGGGCUACCAAUCCCCUAAGGGGACCAAGGGAGAUACGAACAAUUCGCAGAAGAAAUACCAGAAGUGCAGUGAUCCGUGCGCAAAGGUCCAAAUCCUCAAUGGAAUGGAAGAAUCCCGAGAUUCUCACUAAUAACAAUAGGGAAGUGCUAGCGCCCGGACAUCCAAUAAUUUUGUUUUAUCGGACGUUCCGUCGCAACAUUGAAAAAUAACUAUCGAAACAUCAAAAAUCAACACUUACAACAUCGAGGAUUGCAAACACCUUUACGUGCAUGAAACAUCCCGAAUUUCUUCGUGCAAUAUUCAAAACAGACACAUUGCAACAACAAAAAAACAUCUCUUACAACAUUGCAACAACGAAAGAAGAAGAGACGAAAUAAAGAAAACAACUAUAUGCAACAUCAUGAACAAGUUGGUGCAACACCCGAUUGCUGGCAAGUCAGACUGUUGCAAAACAGAUGAAACAUCAAAAGCCACCGUUGCAACAUCCAAAAAUAACUAUUGCAACACCAUGAGGUACCUAUUGCAACACCAUGAGGUACCUAUUGCAACACUCAGAUCCACGACAACCAGCCUGCCGUCGAAGGUCGUCCACCAUGGCCGCCGCCCGAUCCUUCCCCGCUCGGAUUUCGCCAGGGUCGGGGAGAGGGCCACCAGAUCCAGGGUGUUGGGCGCUCCCGAUUGGUUGAGGACGCCGGAGUGGGGGAGGGGUGCCGCCAGGGUGGGGGACGAGGUUCCCGGAGUGGAGGAGCGCGCCGCCGCCGGGGUGGACGAGGAGGACGCCGUGGUGGGGGAGCAGCCGCCGUUGGGGUGGGGGACGAGGCCACCGGGGUGCGGGACGAGCCUGCCGGGGUUGGGGAGCGUGCCGCCGUCGAGAACCUCUGGAUGGAAGGUUGAAGAAGAAAAUGGAUGGGGAAGAAAAAAACGGUAGCGCUUGCAACAUCCAAGAAUCCCUACUGCAAUAUCGUGAGAUACCUAUUGCAACAUGGCCGCCGCCCGAUCCUUCCCUGCUCGGAUCUCGCCGGGGUCGGGGAGAGGGCCACCGGAUCCGGGGGCGUUGGGCGCCCCCGAUGGGUGAGGACGUCGGAGUAGGGGAGGGGCGCCACCGGGUGGGCGAGGAGGACGCCGGGGUGGGGGAGCGCGCCGCCGCCGGGGUGGGCGAGGAGGAUGUCGGAGUAGGGGAGCGGGUGGGGGACGAGGCCGCCGGGUGAGGGAGCGCGCCGCCGCCAGGGUGGACGAGGAGGACGCCGGGGUGGAAGGUUGAAGAAGAAAGGUCACGGGAGUGGGAUGGGGAAGAAAAAGAAUGGUGGAAAUGGAUAGAUAGGAAGCGCCAGAUAUUUUUGGAGCGGAACGUCCGACGCGUCCGGACGCUCGUACUGUAGCAUUACGGAUAACAAUAUCACUCGAUGCUCCUGUAAACCUUAGAAUCAGAGUGUUGUUAGUUAUUCAUUCAUUCCUCCAUGUGACAAAAAAAAACUAACAUGGGACUCUUAUAUAUAGGUAGCUAAGUUGGUACUAUUUCACGUCCCUUAAAUUUUUGUAGAACAAGAUUAAUCAAUAUUAGGCUGAGCUAGUUUUUCAAUUUCUUGGAUUGAUUAUUUUUAAUUCUACUCUCUCUUUUUUUUCCAAAACAUAGUGUACACACAUCACUCACCAUAAACACCCUUGCCCUGUAUGAGAACCAUCUCCGAGAGAUUUGCCAUCAAAUCUUAAGUGAAGUCAGUAAGUCACCAUAAAUGUCUUGCUUAUUACUUACCACUUGAGGAAUAAUUAGAAAAACAAUAUGAACAUUCGUACUAGGUCGGAGCCUUGGAGACUCUCCAAUAAAUAGGUUUUACGGUCAAUUUGCUCUUUUCCUACCAUGUAACUUUCUACUAUCAUCGUGAGGCAGAGAAUCUCUCUCUCAUCAGAAAAAAAAUAACCUAAUUCUACCAUGCACAAUGGCGCAAAUAAUCGAAUCCGAACCUACGUGUUUAUGAAAGAUUAUCGACUGCGUGGUAGUAUAGGUGGGGGCGGUCAGAAAGAUUAGAGGUCACAGGAAAAAUAUAUAUGACCGUGGCUAAAUGGGCCAAGCCCAACAACGAAUCAGCAACGCCAAACAAAUCAACCCGCAACAAACCAUUACAUAACAUUAUCCAGUGGACAGCAAAGCAAGUAUAUUUUCAAAGCACAAUUCAAUGGACAGAAAUUCGGUGUAUGAACAAAAAUAAUGCUCAGGCAUAUAGCUUUUCCCAUGUUAAAAGAUACUUACAUAGUUCGAUGCUAACAAUGCCUACUAGCCGCUAGCGUACAUUCAAAUAACGAAAUAAAUAAUUUUCACAUACAGAAACUACUCCUAGGCAUGUUCUUCCAAUUUGUCUAACAGCGUCUUGAGGGGCCGAUUCCCGUUCACUCCGGGCGGGACUGCUGCUGCGUGCCAUCACUCUUAGCCUUAACGAUGAGAAGAUGCAGGUCGCUCUCGUCGAACAUUUUCUUGCCGAAGAGCCGGAACUCGCGCUGCUUGAAGGCCCAGAUGUCGACGACGUCCUGCUCCUUGAAGCUGCACCGCCGGACGAAGUCCAUGUACCCUUCCCCCUUGACGAUCGUGCCGCUGCUGCUCUCCCACCGCGACAGCAGCAGCUCCCCGCUGGAGCCGGCGGCGAGGUCCACCAGCCUCACGGGCAGCCCGCCGUGCACCUUCCCCUUCCUCUUCUUCCUCUGCUCCUGAUGCUCACCCUCGACGCUUUGCAGCAGCGGCACCGGCUCGGGUUGCCGCCUCGGCUUCGGGGCCGGGUCGUGGAGCAGGUUGGCGGAGUCGAGCUCGCCGGGGGUCAGGAUCGGGCGGAGGCGGCGCAGGACGCCGUCGGACGGGACGCGGAAGCGGUUCUGGUGCGCGUCGAGGUCGGUGCCCGUCACCCGCUUCCUGUCGAUGAAGUGCACCGGCAGGUCCUCCCGGAGCCCCAGCGCCGGGAGGAUAUGCGUGCGCAGGCGCGCGGGCUCCUCCGGGUGGAUGGCGGCGGGCGCCGGCGCCUGCCGCAGCCAGGGAGGAGCAAUGGAGUUCAGGGGAACGGCGCUUAUGGGCUCCACGUCGUGCGGGACGACAGCGCCGGGGUCUGCCGACGGCCGCGCCGGCUUGGCGGCGCCCUGUUGGGAUGUGGCAGCGGCGGCGGCGGGUUCGUAGACGACCAUGGCGAGAGUCCUCUUGCCCAUCUUCUUCGUCGGAAACAGAGGACGCGCGGAAGGCGAGCAGUUGGUUUUCCUUCUUCCGCCCUUUGCAGCGAUCGAUCUGAAUGCACGUCGAUCGGCGAAUUGAGAUCGAAUGUCUGAAGCAUGGAGAGCCGCGGGUUCAGUUUAUAGCUCUCGACGGCGCCGCCUGACACCGAGUCGAACUCGAAGUCCGACGGGAGCUGCGUGCGUGGCCACCGAUGGAGGCAACAGCUAUCGAGCGGAGUAGUCAGCUACCGUCUCGGCAAAGGCUAGGGCAUCCGAGUCCGAUGCAUUUUUUGGAGUAGUCACCAACGAUUCGUACGUGCGAUCCGUGCAAACUGAAGCUGCUUGCUGCUGGCUGGCUCCACCACUGCUUGGUCUGGAAGCGUCGACCGGAGCACAAAUGUUGAAGGAUGCCGUGAGGUGCAAAAACAAGGUGAAGAGGCAAGAAGCAAACGAGCGAAGUUUAGCAGAUUCAACGGAAGGAAAAACUCGAGCUCAAUAAGGAGGUAUUCGAGGGUAUCGGUUCGGCUUCGGCGGAGCUUGAGCUUACGUACACGACUUCAUGUUUAUAAAAUUGACCAAACUAAGUUCCUGUGAAAUGAUGAUAUUGCUAUACAUUACACAGCCUGAGCUCAAGCCUGGCUCCAUAUUUUUUUUUCAAAACGAGGAGAGCUGCCAAUUAUAUUAAAAAGAAGAUACAAAGCACCAAGCGAUGCGAAAGUUUAAGAAAAAAAAAUGUAUACAAACGUAUAAGGUCCGAAGCGCGGAAAGAAUUAACAGUGGGUGAUUAAAAUAGAAAGGUGUUUUGCUCCGGCCAUAGUCCACAUCGUAGUCUCUAUCUUUAACUUUGUGGAACAUCAUAUUGGUUGUAGAUUCCUUGCGCUAAAAAAUUCUCGAAUUUCUCUCUCCAAAUAAUCCAUGAAACAAGCAUGAUCAUGGGCCUUGCUCCAUGUUUUGAUUCCAACCUAGAAUUGCUUUGAAUUCCAACCAAGUGCAUGCGUGGUUCUCAGUCCUUCCUUCCCCUUGGAGUCAUGAGAAAUAUUAACUCCCACAAAAACUGGAGUAUUGUUCGAAAUUCAAAUCAUCUAACCUAAUAACAAGGCUUGGCAAGAAAUUUUUUUUCCUUAAACAAUCUAUACUUAGACGUGGGAUGAAACCACUAUAAUUGCAAAAAGGGCUACUUUCAAACAGGAAAUUAUUUGCACGAAAACUCACUGAAGCCACUGACCAGUGACGACUUCUAUUCUUCGUUCUUCUAACUUUUAAUACCACUCCCUCCAUUUUUAAAAAUACGAUGUUUAGGACAAGCAAGUUAGCUGAAAAACAGAGGGAGUAGUAUUUAAGAUAAUACUCUAUAUUGCUAAGUUCCUUAUAAACUACUCCCUCCGUUCUUAAAUAUAUGACGCCGAUGACUUUUUACUCCAACUUUGACCACCAAUAUACGAGUUAGUUAACUAAAGUAAAAUAUGUAUCAUUAUGUCUAUUGUCAAAUAUACUUUAGAUUUAAGUUGUAGGUUUAUCUAUUUGCAAAAAUAUUUGUAGAAAAGACGAAUAGUCAAACAAAUGAAAAAAGUCAGCGACGUCACAUACUUAAGAACGGAGGGAGUAAUAACGAGGUAUUUUAUUGCAAAGGAAGUUUUCCAUGAAAUCGUGCAAGCAUACCAUUUCGCACAGAACUUGCAAAUAUGUGUACAAAAUAUCUAAUUGAGCUUUAAAGCCGCAUCAUUCUGUUGGAUCUCUUCCUCAAAUCUGUUGAGUCUUGGCUGAAACAACCGCAAUAUGUACAAACAGCUCUACAACUAAAUCUCACUUUCUGGGAACUAGCCACUGUAUAUUACAUAACUAUGCUUGCACUUGUCAUACCUUCUGUUCAUGUCCUAUGAAGUAUGGAUACACAAGGAGUAUUGCUCACAAGUCCGUGACAUCAAAAGCUGGGCAAAAGGAAUCUAGCCGAAGCACAGAAUGUUGUCAUUGACCUGUUCAUCAAUUGAAACGUCAAAGCUUUUAUUAAACUGUAAAUAGCAAACUAUCCAUCUACUCCCUCUGUUCUUUUAUAUACGAUGUUGAUUACCUCAACUUUGAACUAACCAGAAUCGUAUAUAAAAGAACGGCAGGAGUAAUACAGAAGAAUAUCAAGAAGCUAAGGACAUAUUAGUUGUUCUCUUUCGUUUUUUCCAAAGUAUCAUUAUGUAUUUUUUUCUAUGACAACUUUCUAUCGAAGUUACUAAUAAUAAUGUGAUGUGCUUUGUGUUUAUCAAUUUUGGCAGUAACCUACAGCUACUGCAAGCAUAUUAGGGAAUCUCAUGGCAAAAUCUCUGCAAGCAUAUUUCUUACACACUAACAUCAUGCAUUGAUCCUAGUUAAAAUGCAGAAAAGAUGCAGAAAAAUAAAUGUGAAAGGAUUCUGCAGUGCAGUAAUUGCUAACUAAGUUUAAAGCAAUGUAGUGUUAAUGAUCUAUCACUGUUUUACUUCAAAAAAGGGCACCAGUUUUGGCAAGGAAGAAUAAUUGCUCUUAAUUUUUUAGGGAAAAAAUCUUAUAUGCCACUAGGAGUUAGGACAAAAAAAGUACUUUGUCAGAUUACUUAUAUGCUCUUAUUAAAAUACAAUUCAAACAGUUCAUGGAUUCCUGGAGCUUUCCUUUCCUCUCAGUUUACCACAAUUUUGGUGUUACACAAAAAGUAAAAAGUGCGAAACAGAACCUAAUUAAAACAAAAUGGAAACAUGAAGCACUAUCAGAUUUUAUAGUAUGUUCUUACCAGUCCAACAUAUCCUGCUUCAGUAGCUCAUACAGUCACUCUUGGCUCUGGAAUGGAUCGCUUGAACUUACCUCAUUCUUUGCAAACUGUCAUAAAUCAAUGGUCAGAUUCAGCAAAAGCAGAAAAAAGAAAAAUGUUUCAAGAGUCUAUCCAGGUUAUUGGGGAGAAACAAACCGUUGCUGUUGUUAUUGUCGCCAUUGUAACAGGUUGACUAGAUGGCAAGACAAAGUUGCUCCAAAAAAGUGGGUCAGCAGAAGGAUCAGCUGGGCUCCAGGUACUCUUCAUUGGUGUAGGCAUGACAGGGGCCAUUGAGUAAGUAGCUCUUUGCACUAGCAGCUCAUUCAUGUUAAUAUUAACUGCCGCUGUAUCAUGUCCAGUAGCAGGUACCGAGCCAACAGCCUUUCCUUCAACAAUUUCUUUACUGAGUGUACAUUCUUCAGAUGAUUUUGUAGACUUCUCCAAGAAGCUUUUGAAGGCAUCAGACUGAGAUAAUAUACCACAUGCUGAUAAGCCCAUUGAAGAGGGCUUUGAAGGAGAACAGAGGCCAAGAGAAGGCAACUUAUACGGUUCAGUCUGUUGCAUUGAACUUUCAAUAGCUCGGACUUCAUCAGCAAUCUCUUCUGCUUUAGAUGUAUCUGACUGCCGUGUCUUCUUGGGUAGCCACCACCGAAUGUAAUUAGUAAGAUCAAGUUUUCUCUCUAAGCCAAAGCUUCCUGCAAAUUUUCCGUCCAACAUGAUAUCCUUUCCUGUAGUUUCAAAAGGUAUAACAACAUUAGUCGCACGAUCUUAUAGCAGUUUUUAUUAGAGUUUGACAACUAGAAAGAACAGAGUAGAAGUCUUUACGACCGACCACAACUAAGGUUCAUGUAGUCAUUCCCGAGUAAAUGCCCCAAAGACGUAUCCCAUCUGGAAUUAUGCAGUUGCCUGCAUGAUAAUGCACACCAUUGUGAACUUUCGAUAUUAGGACUUCAUCAAACUUACUAUUGUGACAGUGUAUUAAGAAAUUCAGGCACAAAGUUAGAUAGGACCAAAUCAGGGAUCGGAGUUGGUAGUAUGUAUAUUAUUUGGGUUUUUUACUAUUGUGACAGUGUAUUAAGUUUCUAGGAUUCGGGUCAAAUCUUCCUAAAAAUGAGGUACCAUCUGCACCUUCUUUAAUCAAGAAUGAAUCAAGGGUUAGCAUAAAAAAAUUAGAUUCCAUUACUAGGGAUAGAAUCUCAAUUGCUAACACAUACCUAGGAAGCCCACGGUAUUUUGGCAACCCCCUGGAGAAGGCACUGCUCUUUCUGCAAUGCAUGGAUCUUCUGGUCAGUGCUUAAUCAGAACAAAAUCAUGUAUAUAGAACACAAGAAAUGCACAAAUAUACCUUCUAAGAGACACAAGAUAAUCCUCCUUGGAGAUCAUCUGCAUCUCUUCAAGGUCUCUUGCAUAGUCAGAGACCUAAAUAAGCAAACAUAUAAUGAACAUAAGUCUGAAAAAAGCAUAAUUUCAAUUAACUACUGUGACAAUAUGCAUGGAACAUAAAUAAAUAACACUCUACGUUUGCAACUCAUCGGGACCCACAUGUACAAGUAUCAAAUUAAGCAAUUAAAUGUGUUGAUAUAUUUGUUUUCUCACAUUUACAGAAGGCAUUUUUUGUUGCACAUUCUUAGCAUUCAGUCCAGCAACUUGAAUCAUGCAAAAAGAAGACAUUCCACUCAAGUUCAAGUGCAAUUGUGCAAAUAUGCAAAAAUCAACUUCCAAUGUCAUUUUACAACAAUAAUAAAAUUUUAUGAAUAAGAAUUGAAGUAUAGGUCGGGAAGUGUUAUUUCUCAUCUGUCAUGUGAAUGCAUGGAGUACAGCAGUCAGCAGGUACCUUAGUGCAAGCAUGAUAUAUCAGCACAACACUUUUAUUCGAUUUAAAAUAAAGGGGAAAAAAGAUGGCAACAGCCUAACAAUCAUGAUCUAGACACCUCUUAGAUCUGAUUAAUGUCUGGAAGCUCCCCUUUGAAAGUACAGAACUAUGUUGCUCAAUGUAAGGAAAAAUAAAGGAAUAUUGUUUCUUGAAUUAAACAAUUUCUAUCAACAGAGAGCUAAUCUGAACAUAAGCUGGAGAAUUUUACAGCAAUUCAAAAACAAGAUUCACAAUCAUUAACUUACUGGAAAAUUUAUUUGUGUUCCAGCUCCCCAGUAUUUUAAUGCAGCAAGGUCAUAGGCCCUUGCUGCAGCCUCUUCGUCGUCAUAUGCACCUACGUUAUUGCACACAUGAUAGAUAAUGAUUAACAAAAACCAUAGCAAUUCGGCAAAUUAAGUUAACAUGGGGAUGCCACUUACCUAAAUAUACUGCAAUAGCAAUUGUGCGAUGUAGUUUCCCAUGCAAAAGAAACAAUUCCAUCAAAUCAUAAUGAGAGCUAAAGUCAUAAAUAUUACAAAUAAAAUCAUUUUGUUGUUGACUAAAUACAGCUGUGAUUUUCCUGAAGAUACGAAAUAAACCGGACAAACGAUAGGAAUUUGGAAACUGCAGUAGGCAUAGCUCAUUACUUCCAUCCAUGCCAAAUGAUUAUGGCAUAAUGCAAGAAUAAUCAUUAUUUUCGUUACAACCGAACUGAUUCACACUACUGUUGGAAAAGGUGGAGAGCAUAUUUGAGUGUCAAGUGUUAGAUUGAAGAAAGACACUUGGACAUGGCAAGAUUCCAAGAUGUAUGUUUCACUCUAUCUGGGUAUAUUUAUAAACCAUAGCAAAAUCAUAAUAUUAUAAAACCAUUUGUCAAGGGAAAUGUGUUUGAUAAUUUCCAAAUGUUCAAACACAAUAUUCAAGAAGAUAUCAAUGGCAACGUAUUAAAAGUUUGACUAUAUGAUACAUGCAACCAAAAUUUAUGACAUGAGGGAGAAGUUAGCAGCUCACAGAAGAUUAAUUUGUUUAAGCCUGAUGCCAACAUAAAUCAAGCCAAACUAUCUAUUUAAUGUAAUCAAGUUGCAGUGAGUGAUAUGUUUUCACAUCUUCCAGUUCCAAUAUGUUCAGAAUUUCAAGGACGCGUACAACUGCCACUACUCUGUAUAUUACAUCCAAACAUACCUUGUUUCCCCUUUUUGUUCUGAUUCUGAUUCCACGUGCUUUUGUCCCAAAGGUGAGCCUCAUAUCGACCUGUCCACCUAUGCCUAUUGAGGAGUCAUCAAGUUCAGGUCUAUAUCAAUGUAUACAAACAUAGCAAGCAUCAGAGGAAAGGUGAGAAAGUUUCAUUUAUAUCAGUCAUGACAGGAGUAUUACCAAGUAUAAACUGGCUGCUACAUUUGAUGUAGCAACAGAAAACAGUGCAAGUCAUUAUGGCACGAAAAUUUCAUCUGCGGAGGCUCAGAAGAAUUCUAUUUGGCAAGCUUGACCCAAAUUGCCUCAGAAGAAUUCAAAAUUUUACAUAUUACAUCGACUAAGUACCCAUGCCACAACAGAAGCAGAGUAUGAGACCAUUUUAACACGCCACAAAAGCCUCUGGAAAAUCACAAGCACCAUCAGUCCAUCACAGAUCCCAUGUCAGCCGGUCUUAAACGUGGUUCAGGAACCCUAGGCAAUAUGAACAGUGAACGCCAAAUUAAAACAGUAUUGAGCCACAACCAAGCCAAUAUCCGAUGUACCAGUGGUUGCCAAAAUUAAUCGAGACUGGAUAAGAUCGGUGGUCAACGCAACGCUGUCAAUAGAGCAUAAGUAAACGAGUCGAGCUCCUUGAGGACGUGAGAUCGCCUCAUUUCGAGCCACCGGAACCACGGAGUUAUUGGAACCGCGAACAAAUAGUAGAUCCCGAAUCGCCGAAACAACAUGGCAAUCCCAGACGUAGGGAUUUAGCACAGGAGAGGAGACUCAACCAAGGAGCCAACCGAUCGAAGUGCGCACAGAAGAUUAGCAACGUCCUAAGCUCCCAGUUCGUAGCAUGUAGCAGCUCGCAGAGACGUAGAGGAAGGGGACGGGGACGGGGACGGGGACGGGGGAGCAGGGGACCCUGCGACUCGUACCGAGUGACCCCGCGGUAGAUGGAGCUCCGCUUCCCCGCGGCGCAGGGCGGCAUGCGGCUGAUGCGCUCCUUGGCCGUGCACACGCGCUCCUUCCGCACGGUGAGGGCCCUCCUGGGCGGCUGCUCCCCCGCCGCCACAAUCGCCCCCGCGACGGCGCCGAACGACGAGGACGAGCCCUCCCCUGCCCCCGGCACGGCCAGCCCCGCGGCGUCGGGGUUGGGGGAGGCCAUGGCCGCCCUCCGCCGGCCGGAUAGGUCGGUCGGAGCGGUGCCAAGCCGGCUCGACGGCGAGGGGUUGGUGCGGUGUUGCACAGCGCAGCGCAGCGAAGCGUAACGGGUGACCGUUUGGGGGCGGCGUGGUGUGGUGGUGGGAUUUGAAAUGGGAGGGGGAGGGGGGGAAGGGGGCGGCAUCGGCUGGCGUGGAACCGGGGUGGGGUGGGGCCGAUAGGGACGCGUGGAGCCCACUGGGCCGGCACAGGGGAGACAGGCGGACGGGGAGCGCAGGGGAAUCCGAGGAUGCGGCAUUGAUGUGUUUGCGAUGAUGGGUGAUGGGUGUGGGUUUGGGCCCGGAAGCGACAUGGGAACGGGGAGAUCGGAUCGGAUCGGCCCGUCGUCGUUUCCUCGAACGGCAACGGUGCGCUUCUCGAGAAGCGUCUGGCGCCUCGAGUUGAGUCAGUCGACGCGAGUUCCGGGCGCGUUGGUUUUUAGCUCAGCCAAACGGAGGGGACGUCGUGUCGUCUCGUCGUCUAGCUGCCUGGUGUCCCAAAGCAUCUCGAGGUGCAGUAUCCACGUACUAGUAAUAAUCUUGAGUAAAUUCCUUCUAUGCCGUUGGAAGCUUGCUUAUCCUUUCUAUGCCGUCCAAAAUUUUAACAUCCCUCCAGUGCCAUUGAUGGUAAUUUCCCAUCCCCUGUGCCAUUGCCGUCAAAUGUCAACUUUUAUGAGAAAAAGACGAAUAUACUCCCGCCUUCCUUCUUGCUUCCACCUUUCUUCGAUUUCACGCGCUCCCACUCCCACUCCCACCUCUGCUCUGGCGCCGGCUCCGCCUCCUCGCCCCUGCCCGUGCAUCGUCGGCAGCUUCAAGUCCCCACCGCCGCGCCCUCCAGCUCGUGCUCACCGCCCUUCUCCACCACGAAGUCCUCCCGGACACUGCCUCCCCAUCCACCGUCCUCAUGGCGCCCGACACGGGGCGAGGUUGGGACGCGACGCCGGAGUGGCGGCGGCGUCGCGCACGGGGCUGCGGCCACAGGCGUGGACGCGCGGCUGUGCGCGGCGGCGGGAGCGGUGGUCGGCGUCGACGGCGGCUGAUUCGACGUUGGGGCGCCGCGGACCGUGGCCGCCUGCGAGGUGGCGCGUCGUGAGGGCGAGGUCGCGGCCGCACGGGUCGGCGCGAGCGUGGGACAGAGCCGCGGCUGGCGGCCCCACCGCUGCCGCGUGGGAGCUCGCCUAGCGUGCGGCCGCCGGGUGCGUCGUCCUCGCCCCCGGCGCUCCCUGCAUCCAGCCGCCGCGCCGGGCCGCGGGACCCGCACCCUUGCCGUGCGCAGCGCCGGGCCGUGGCGGCGCCGCCGCGCUUCCCGCGCUGGUGCGCCUCCGCCGCCGCCCCCGCGUUCUCGCUCCGCGCGACCACGCGCUGUGGGGACCGAGUCGGGCAAGGUCCUUGAUGCUAAAUCCGAGCUCCCUUUGCAACAAUCCGAAGCUGCAACAUUGGAUCUGUGAAGUAGCAUGGAUUAGCAAUCCAUUUUGUGUUGGAGAUUGGAGGAAGUAUGCUGUGGGCAGCACUUAAAUUUGUGCGGCAAGAACAGGAGCGGAGGAGAAAACCAAGAGAAUAGGAGAGGAGAGAGAACGGCGCAGUUGAAUGGUUUUCUAACGCCGUGAGGACAAAAGUGACGGUAGUGGCACGUAGCCGAUCAGAAAUUAGAAUCAACGGUACUACUCUAAUUUUGGAUGGCACAUAAGUUGGAUGGCACGGAAGGGAUAUGUAUAGUUUUGAGUGGGAUAGAAGGAAUUUACUCAAUAAUCUUUCACAGUAGACCGUACUAGACAAAGAGUAAGACACGGUGUAGGCGUGUAGUGUGUAUCAUGCUGGUUAGUGGUUACAGGUUCAGUGUAUUUCUUUUCUUUUCAUUUCCGUCCGCUUGUCUCCCCUGUGCACUUGCCGGUUUGGCAUCAGAAAAAACAGGCUCGAGAUGUUCCAUCGCAACAAGAAUUCCAACCGUGGGAAGUUUUUUAAGUGACCGGCAGAAAAAAAAACUUAAGUAUUAUUUUUAUUUAAGAAAAAAGUCCAAAUUACUCCUAUAGCGAAAGUUCAAAUAACCAUAAACUAUAUUUUGGUUCAAUUUACCCCAUAAACUAUACUAUUUGGUUCAACUUACCCCAUAAUGCAAUUUAUCUUUUUUUUUCUCCAUACACAAGAUGAAUUUUAAUUUGAGAUUUUGUAGGGUGACAGUGGAAAUCAUAAUAUAUAUUUAAAAAUAUUUUAUAAAUUUUUUAUCAUUAUUUUUAUAUAAUUUUGUAUCUCAAUGAUAAAUUUUAUUAUUAAAUAUCCUACCCUAUCAAAAUAACGAUAAAAAAUUCAUGAUAUAUUUUCUAACAUGUCUUAUGAUAUCUUUUAUCAUCAUGCAAAAUUUGAACUUAAAACUUCACUUAUGCAUGGAGAAACAAAAAGGACAAAUUAUGUUAAAGGGGUAAAUUGAAAGUGACAUAGUUUAGAGCUACACUGAAAAAAACUAUUUUAGAGGUUAUUCAAACUUUAGUUAUACUUGAAGGCAGUAAUUUAGACUUUUUUUUCUUUAUUUAAUGACCGGAGGUGACUAACGUUUACAAGUUUUUUUUACGUAGCCGUCGAUUUCGCAAGCAGCGUAUGUGCCAUCUUCACCUCUCCGAGUAGACAGGGAUGAAAGGUACUGUCAAUUCAAUUCUAAAUCAUUAAAAUUGACAAGUUUCUUACCUUUAUCACUCCGUUUUCCUUUCCUAUGAAAUUGAAAUCUUUUAGCCAAUUGUGAUGGGUAACUGAAAUUACUGUGUGAUGUUUUUUCUUCAUCUGAUUAGCCUAUUAUCAGGCUCCUGCCCACAAGGUUCGCGAUGAAGAUGUUUUUACACACUUUUAGCUAGAUUUAUGUUUAGCACAAUCCACCAAUUAUACGUAUGACAAAACUAAAUAGUGAUUAAUUACAUUUAAACUAAUUUUAUAUUACAAUUUCAUGAUUCUUUCUAAUACCAUGAUUGAAAAUAAUUGAUUAUUAAGAUUUUCAAAUUCCCAUGGUUCUAUUUCAAAACACAAUGAUGGUUUUAGUUUCGAUUUUCAACCCAUUUCCCUUAAACCCCAAGAACACCUCCGAAUCCCAACAAUGCCAGCCCCCCCCCCCCCCCCCCCGCUUCGUUCCGCCGCCAUCCGCUCGCCUCCUCCGUCGACCUCGUUCGAUGGCUCUCCACCUCCUCCUCUGGACGCCUCCUCGCUGACGCCAUCUACGAUCUCUCUUUCGUCCCUGCCACCUCCAGCAUCCACCUCCUCCCACUCUCCGACCCCACUCGCCUCCUUCCUACUCCCGUCCCGCACCUUCACGCUCUGUUGCUCCCCCUCCACGCUUGUCGUCGCCACCUCCUCCCUCAUUCGACUCUGACGCGGCAGUGGCCAUCCCCGGCGGCGCAGGGUUCCACGUGAGCUCAGUCCGGGACAUAGACUUCGAAGGUGAGGAGUGGGUCACGACGAGGGAGGAUGGGAGAGCGCAUGUUAUCGGUGGGGAGAGGAUGGGAGGUUGGUGGUGAGGAGGGUGAGGGACGGGAAGGGGAUGUCAAGGCACGAGGCCGUUAGGUGGGUGUCGCCGGUGAAGUUCAUCAUGAGCGGCGCCAGGUGUGGCGUGUAGUGGUGGCACAGUGCAAAUGGCAUCCGGUGAGUGUAACAAAACCUGUAUCUUUAGUGUUUCUAGCAAUAUGUGAUAAAAACCGAUUCACAUUGCUCACUUAACCUUGAACAACAUUUGCUCAUUUUACUUCUCUAAACUAUUCAUUUCUGAACAACAUUUGCUCAUUUUACUUCCCUAAACUAUUUCAUUUUGGUCCAAUCUACCCCUGGCCGGAUCCAAAAUAAAAUUAUAGGGGGCUGAACAUCACAGGCACUAAGCAAUCUUGGUCCACUUUCUCAAAUGUUCUGCACUUUGCUGACCAUAAGACAUGCAUGUUGUCAAGCAUGGAAAUAAUGGUUUGUAUAGAGGAUAAAUUUUAGAAGGCUUCAACCUAGUAUGCCGGCCAGUUUGCUUGAACAUUUGAGUUCUAACAAAAGGAAGCUAAAUGGCUGAUGAUAGGAAUGCCCUUGCGGAUGGCCGAUAGCUCCUUUGCUGCUUGCAGAAGUGAGCCGGUCAGGCUGACAGACAGUCUCAGAGACUGAGCUCACCUGGCACUUCAACGCGCGCAGCGCGCCCUCCUGCCAAGACCGGCUGCGACGCCCGUGCUCGCAGGCUGCGUCCCUUACCGGCGACCGGCCGCCAAGACUGCGGGCGCGUUUGAUUUAUGAUUUUUAGUUCGGGUCGAAUGUUUGUAUACCAAUUAGAAGAACUAAACGUGAAUUAAUUAUAAAAUUAAUUGUAUAAGCUAUGGCUAAUUCGUGAGACGAAUCUAUUAAGCCUAAUUAAUCCAUGAUUAGCACAUAUUUACUGUACUAACACAUGGUCAAAUCAUGAGCUUAAUAGAUUCAUCUCGCGAUUCAGCCUUCAUUUAUGCAAUUGGUUUUGUAAUUAACCUAUAUUUAAUACUUCUAAUUAGUAUCCCAAAUAGGACCGAGCGUGGCUGCAAGCAAUGUGCACUGGAUUCAGAUAGUGAAAUUUUUUUAUUUUUUAUUUUAGUAUUUUGCUAAAAUAUACCUCCUAAAAAAAUUACAAAUCUAUAUAGCUACCGCCAGCUGAACCGGCGGUAACUUCCCACCUCUAGGUACUACACUUUCAAAAAAUCAUAACUAAUUCAUAUGAAUUUGGAUGGAGAUAAACUUUAUAUAAAAAUUGUAGAUCUCGACGAGAUCUAUAAUUUUGUAGAUAAAACUUUUUUCAUUUGAUAUCAUCUUAGUGCUCAAAUAAUCGACACAAAUUUGAACUACAAAUAAAACUUGUGUUGAAUAUUUGAGUACCAAGAUGACAUCAAAUGAAAAAAAUUUGAACUACAAAGUUGUAGAUCUCGUCGAGAUCUACAAUUUUUAUAUAAAGUUUAUCUCUAUCUGAAUUUAUAUGAAUUAGUUAUAAUUUUUUUGAGUUACCACCUGUUCAACUGGCGGUAGGUUGCUUCCGCCGCGUGUUUCCAAGGGAUGCAUGCGUUGGAUUCUGAUCAAAUCUUUGUCGAUCUGAGCUAAGCUCUAUUUCUUUUCAAGUUUACCAUGGAUUUGUAUCUUAAUGUUUGUCCGUUCUAGUUAUUUUGUGAUUAAUGUUUGUCCGUUCUAGUUAUUUUGUGAUUGUUAUUGUCAGAAGCUCAUCUUAUUUUUAUUCUUUAGUGACAUGACUCAUGAGGCAGUAGCCUUCAUUGUCGAGGAUCGUGGAUCUAAAAGACGAGCUCAUGGCUCUACUAGGAUGUUCAUGAGGACCCUUGCAGGCUUGUCGUGCUGUCUUGCUCACAUGAGGAGUCUUGCAGGCUCUGUCUCAUUCGUUUUGUAUCUGUCAAUGCUAAGCUCAAGUAAAAUGUCUGUUCUUUGUGAGAAGCAGGCGAAUAAUACAUGAAGCAGUACAUUUUUUAUACUAUAGUAAGCCAUCUUGGCUCUCUACAUUUCUAGCACUACCUCGAGUACUUACUAAAUUCAUUAAUUUUUCAUUAUACUAAUUUUUGUGACCUUGAUAAACACUUUAUCUAUGAAUCAAACAUGUGACAUCUUCCUACCGGAUUGCGUUACAACUAAUAGUUUAAUUCCUUUACCCUUCUAAAUCAUCAUGCCCUUAGCCAUGACAAAUUAUUUAAGGGAACAUAUCUUGUGAGAACCAACUAAACUUGAAAACUAUAUCAAAACUCAUAAGUAGAUGGUUACAACUAAUAGUUUUUCUUUUUACACCUUCCAUUACCAACUAUGCUCCAUGACAUAAUAAUUGGAUUCUUGCCUUGCUUACUUUCUUCUACGAUUUUGCAGUUAAUGUAAAUGAAAUAUGUAUGAGUUGUUCAAAAAGAUAAGCAGCUUCGUGGUUGAUGAUGGCUUGAUUAAUAAGGUAUGUAGCUUCUCCUAUUUUCUUUGAAUGGAGUGGCAAUGAAUGGAAAUUAUGUUAUCGUGAAGCCACGAUGCCUAAUUUCAACAGUUUUAACAUACUCAAACAUUUUCUUCGAGUCAUGUGUUGCACAACAUUUAUUUAAGUUGUCCAACAUCUUUUUAAAUGCACCAACAUUUCUUGAUAUCGAUCAACAUUUGUUUGACAUACACCAACAUUUUUUCUAUGUUAUUCAAACAAUUUUUAUACUCUAACCAACAUUUUUUUGAGAAUGACUAAAAUUUGUUUACAUACACAAACAUUUUCCUUUAACUUAUUUCUGGACACACACCAACACUUGUAGAUAUUGACCAAUAUUUUUUACAUAAUAUCAACAUUUUUAUGUUUGCAGAACAUUUUUCCACACUCUCCAACAAUUUAUUUGACAUACAUCAACAUUUUUCUUGAUACACCAACAUUUCCUUUAAAUAAUUCAACAUUUAUUAAUGGCGGCCAACAUGUUUUGAGCAUGUACCAAUAUAUUCUUAAAGUUAUUUUUAAACUCUUACCAACUUUUUAGAAUCUAUUCAACUUAUUUUUGAACACAUCUCCAACAUUUCUUUAUAUUUCUUAACAUUUUUUUUCUAAAUCAACAUUUAUUGAUGAUUGGCCAACAUUUUUUCAUAAUCUCCAACAUUUUCUUGACCAUUAUCAACAAUUUUUUUCAUACACAGUUUUUUCUUGCAUUUCAUUGACAUGCACUAACAUUUUCCUUUAACUUAUUCUGGGCACAUAGCACCAUUACUUGAUAUUGACCAACAAUUUAUCUGACAUUCACCAACAUUUUACUUAAUAGACCAACAUUUCCUUUACAUAAUUCAACAUUUUUUUUCAUAUACCAAUGUAUUCUUAUAUUGUUUGCCCAACAUUUUUUUUACAUACUCCAACAUUUUGCCAAUAAUAGCCAACUUUUUUUUGACAUGCACCCAACAUUAAUCACGAACCCCACUUUGUAGGCUAGGGUAGUGUGAUCCUAAUGCAUUAGCCAUUUUUGAAACAGAAGCUUAAAAGGUCUUUUUAUAACAAAUUCACAUAUGAUAUUCCAUGAGCACAACCGUUGUUCAUUUUAUUUUUGUUCCAACUCCUCUCUUAAAAGUACAACAAAUUUCAUGAAAAGUUCAUCCACAUGCUACUUUAAUCCAAAUGUUGUUCUUUAGCUUUUGCUUCUAGGUUUGUCACAAAUUUUCUAUCAAUGAUUAUCUAUGUUUUAUACUUUCAAUGUUAUGAUAAAAAACUGCAUCUAUCUAACAUUUUGUUACCAUUACACAACUAGUAAAUGUUUUCAACAUUUCUAACUGUGUGUUCACCUUUUAUAAUGAAUGUUUCCAACAUUUCUAGUUUCCAAUAUUUUUUAGUUACCACAAGGUCCAACAAUUUUACACGAAUAGGUUCAACUAUUUUGAAUUCAACCUCAUAUUGUUCCAUAAUUUUUCUCCAUUAGAUUCAACAGUUUUAGAAAUUUAACUUCUUACUGUUCAACAAUUAUCUUGUCAAAAUCAUUAUGAUAUUCAACAGUUCUAGCAGUUUCUUUUCCACAUCCUAACAUUUCUAAAACUUAUUGUAAUUCUAUGUUUAUUAUUAACAAGUGCUCUAGUUCUUCAUGAGGAGAUGAUUCAUUUUAGGGUGAUUGAUGUUUCUUAGUUGAGGAUCGAGUAGACCUGAAGUUACUUAGUUAAUUAUUAGUUUGUAUAAUAACAAUUCUAUUCUCACUUGUGUUUUUAGUUGGACGUACAUGUUGAUCAUAUGUAAAAAUUAUAUCUUAGUAUAUUAAACUUCAAAUUUUAAGUUGCAAGUUCCCACCUGUUAGUAUCCCACUUCAAAUCACAUGCCUAGCAAAUUAGUCAAACAAUACAUCAGUCGGUUGAGAACUGGUGUCACGUGGAAAAAUAAUAAUAACACGCUAAAAAAGGUCGAAAGCGCUCUCAAAAAUAAUAACAUGCUCAGGAAAAUAAUAUCGGAGGGGCGCUAAAAAAAGUCAAAGGCACGUGGCGUGCGCAUCCAGGAACGGAACGAAAACUACGAAGCUAGGUCUUGAUGGGCUUUAUAGUUCAAGCGCUUAACCAUCUUCCAAUAUAUAUAUAGGACCUUCCAGGCUUGACCUCCCACUUUGCGACUUCUUCAUGUAUAAGUUGAGUUUUAGGGGGUGUUUGGCAGCACUUCACUCUAGAAAAAAUAGCUCCACUCUACGAACUUCGCAAAAUUGCAGCUCCACUCCACCAACUCCAGGAAAACAUGGAGUUGUUGUACGUGUUUGGCUGAUUGUAAUGCUCCAACUCCAGAAACAUCAGGACUUAUUGCGAAUAGUCUAUUUUACCCUUUUGUGAAUGGACCCACAUGUCAGUCUCUUCUCUCUCACCUCCUCUCUUCCUCUCCCUUCUCUUUUCUCCCCUUCUCUUCAACAACGACCACCAUCGACGUGGCCGCGUGCGGUGGCAGCGCCUGCUCGACGUGCUGGCCGAGGGUCCACAACACCAGCGGCAGGUUGCUGAGACAGCCGGCGGCGAGGCGCAAGAAGGGUCGCGGCAUGCUCAGGCUGCUCCUCUCCAAGAAACUCAGCGGCGCGACGACGAUGGCGCCUGCUACGGCGGCGGCCAAGAAGAAGCGGCAGCAGCGGCCGGCCGCUAUUGGCUAGCACCGCACCGAUGUUGACGUGAAGCGGACCACGCCGGUCCGUUCCGCGAAUGCCGGUGUCCCGGCUUCCCCCAGCGCCCAGGCCCUUAAACCGGCGUCCCCCAACCUCUCCUGUUCUUCUUCUUUCUGCUUCCCCAUUCUAAUCCACGAACAGAGCUAGGCCGCCGGCCGAUUCAUCCGCAUCCCGGCCAUCUCCCUCCAAUCGCUCGCACCUGAAGCUCCUCCACCCUCACAGCUCCAGCCUCCGCCACUUCCCGUCGUGCUCCGUCCACCCCACCGCCGGGAAUCUCGGUUUCCGUGACCGCCCGUGGUCCUCCCGCCACCGCCCGCACCUCAUCAUCGUCGGCCCAACUCCGACCCUCUCCACCCAAACAAAGAACACGGGUGAGCUCCUUGGGACCAACCGGUGCCCGCGCGCCCGUCUUCCCGCCUCGACCGCUGGCGUAGCCGCCAGAGCAGCCGCCGCCGCCGCCUAUCCCGUCCACCGCCGCUCGCCACCAGCCUGCUCCAGUCGUAUUCCGGCAGGGUCAGGUAGGGUUAUAGAUGCGCCUCGUAGUUCUAGACGUGUAGGUGCUAGCCCCGUCGCUGGAAUCCUUACUGCCGGCAAGUACCCGCCGGUCAAACGGUCGGCUGCCAUGGCCUUGAACCGACCAAGGUUGGAGUCUCGGGAAAAUAGAAACGAACUGGUGGUAUAUUGUGUAACGAGUGGUAAAUGUGGGUAAAUAACCCUCAACUCUACGAGGAAGUCUGAAACUGACGUUUUUGGAGCAUCCCCGGAAGAUACUCUAGGAAAAACGUGGAUCUAACCACUAGCUCCACGUUUUUUGUGGAGCUGGAUUGGAUGGGUUUGACAAGUAAUUUUGUGAAGUUGGUGAAGUGAAGUUAUUUUUUCUAAAAUGGAAUGCUGCCAACAACCCUUGAUGUCAGAUUUAUUUCUGACUCGACCACCCCGCUCCGGUUCCGACUCGACCACCCAGCUCCCGGUGGCCCCACCACACCCGCCUGCGCUUGGCCUAUCAAGUCCGAGGAAGUCUGUUCUGCUGCCCGCUAGAUGGCGUUAGGACUCCGAAUCCGACAUCACCCGAAUAAAAAAAAAGUCGUCUGUGUUUGUUAUUGGAAGCUUUAGGAGCUUCAGGUUGUGAGAACAUUUUUUGUUGUAGCAAUGUUGGAUGCUCACUGCUACAGUUUGAUGGAGGGUGAUAGCAACCCGCAAUUUUGUGCUUUUGUUUCGGUGUUAGUGCAUGCUAGUUUGGCGCUUUUGGUUCGGGGUUAGUGCACGCCAGCUGUAAGUUGUAACAACUUAGGGUGUUUGGAUACGAGAUGUUAAACUUUAACAGUGUCACAUCGAAAAUUCGGAUGCUAAUUAAGAGAACUAAAUAUGAGCUAAUUAUAAAAUUAAUUGCAGAACCCUGUGCUAAUUCGCGAGACGAAUCUAUUAAGUCUAAUUAAUCUAUCAUUAGCAAAUGGUUACUGUAGCACCACAUUAUCAAAUCAUGAACUAAUUACGAUUAAUAGAUUCGUCUCGCGAAUUACACUUCAUCUGUACAAUUAGUUUUAUAAUUAGCCUAUGUUUAAUACUCCUAAUUAGCAUCAAACAUCCGAUGUGAUGGGUUAACACCUGAUUGCCAAACAUGCCCAAAUUAUUUCUUAUGUUCGGCAUUUGCCCUAGCAUUUAAAUCGGCCGAUGAACAUAGCAGACAAGUCUGACUGUAAUGUACAGAAGUCAAUUUCGCCAUAAAACAAACGCCAAACGUGAAUCCUGCAGAAUUCACUACAGACACGUCUGAGUGAAAUGCCGUAGUACUUCGUAAGAUCUUAGUUUCUGCACCUGCAUCCUGUUAAAACUACACUCAGUAACGGCCUCAUGUGCUCGGUGAACAAGAGAAUGAUAGCUACAUAUGAAAAAAAAGAUCUGGUCAUUACAAAAUCUGUAUGCCACCUGCAAAACACUAGGUGCGAUACAGUUGGCUGUUAGCGAACUAGAUACAAGGGAACAGAGACUACGACCAAGUAAUAGCUAGAACCCCUCCACAAAAACAUUCCAGGUGUUACCUUUUACCUAAGGAUGUUGUCGCCUAUGCAUAGAGAGUAAUAAGGCCUACUAGAUUUUACAAGUUUCUGCCAUCUCCCUGAAACUUUGCCUCAAACCACCAUACACUAAGAACAGAUCCCAGAUUCCAUCUGCGGCAAUGCUUUCAGUGCUAUCCAGUGAUAACUGACUGACUGAAAUCUUGUCCACCAACAGCGACCAGCGACUCAAUUAAGCUUAUUUCUGUGGUUGAAGUUUUCCGACAGAGUGCAGGUACACCGAGACAGACACAACCCUGCAAGUUGAGAGCAGAUUUUGAUAUUGCAUCAUGAGUUUGAAGGUUCUAAUCAACAGAAGUGGCAAUGACAUUCUCAUUAUCACUUACGUGGAUCCAAGGAAGAAUGCAAGGGAUAAAUGGAAGCUAAACAAAAAGACAGAUACAAUUGCUGUCAGAAGCAUUGCAACUGAAGUUGAAUAAACCUGUAAAUACAUAUUGUCAGUAAAAACUGCUGUAAGAUAUUUUCAUUAAUUUAAGUCAAGGACUGCUUGAAUAGAUUAACUUGGUUAAACAAAAGAGCACUAGGAGGACAAAACAUCCAUAUACAAGAUGCAUCUGUUUUAGGGUCAAGCACCUAUAUGGUUUUAUGUUGUUUGGGAGUAUCUCUAUUUGUUCUCCUGGAGCACUGCCCAACAACAUCAAAGCCUUUUCGGCCCUGUUUGUUAGGCUGGGUAGGCUUGAGAUAAAUCCACCACGCCCCCCCCCCCCCCCCCCUCCCGUUUUGCAACCCACAACCACAAGGUAGUUUCAUGUGCUUUAAAUUAUCACCAUUUAAGGUAAUGAUAUAGGCACUUGGUAGACUCAGGGUAGUUGUCUUGCUACCCGAAAAACAAACAGAAACUUGCAUAUUUGAAACAACAGGAAAAAAGUAAAAUAUAUGCAUCAAAAUGUAUUGAGUAUCAACUACGUCCUUGAAACGCCCUUAUCCAACCCUCAACUUGUCACCCUUUGACAAUAACAGGGUAAACACAGAACAAAGGACAAGAUAGAUGAUGACGAUUGAAGCGUAGGGAGUUAGCAGGGUGUUGAAUCCUGAGACUGGAGACUUAUUUUCCUCUUUAUACUUGCUCAAUUAAAAUGAUGACAGUGACCUCACAUGGAGGGGCUAGGGCCUAACUCAUGUGAACUAUCUAAAAGGAACCCUUAAUGAUAGCAACCAACCCAAAUGAAAUAUUUAAUAUGGAAACUAAUCAACCCAAUCCUAAUUAAUGUUGCCUCCACACUCAAGUUGCAACAAAGCCGUGUAUGGGCUACAAUGCAUAGAUAAACAAUAGUCGGGACCUAGUGGGCUGCACAUGAAUCAACUUCACUAACAUCACAAAUGAUGCUCAGACAUAAAUUUGAAUGCUAGUGGCACAUACCUUGACUAUAUUAUCAGCAUAUUUCAUCACCAUUGAAACAGCAAUUCCACUACAUGGUAAAUGAAACAAGUGUAAGCUACCUUGAUUAGGUGACAAAAAAAGGGUUUAAACUCUUAGUUGUUGGUACCUCAGUGCAUGGUUCAGAAUCAUCAAAACUGUGAUGAAUGAAUACCCAUGGAAAAAGCCUCUGUGCCAGAUAGCGUAAGUAAAACUGUUAAAUACAUGAAUUAUACUGAAGGCAGCGUAAGAGUUUAGCAGUUUCCAUGAGCACUAACUUAUUCAUGACUGCAUCAUAAUCCUGAACACAAAUUGCAACUAAAUUGAAGAUCACCCCAAAAAUGUAUAGCCAAAAGUUCUGCACGUUGAUGUUUCUUGACGGACGUUUUUUAAUGAUAGCCUGCAAUGUCCAAAGAUAAAUCAAAACCUUCCCUAAUGUUUUACACCAAAUGAAUUCAUUUAAAGUAAGAUAUUUAAGAGAAGAGAAACCAAGAGCAACAAGACAUACUUCUGUAUAUACCCCAGCAAAACCACUUAAAAGAGCCAUCACCUGCACGAGAAUGACCAAUUCAGCAAGGUGAGGGAAAACACUUCCAAUAGUAAUCUAAAUGAAACUGAAUGUCUUCAAUUACAACUCACAAUUGCCAUCAUCCAACCUUGAAUAGGAGUUUGAAGCACAUGGUCAGAUCUAAAAAUGGACAAAUAACAUUUCAACUAGUCAAAACUCAUAUUUCAUUAAAUGACCAAAUGACACUAGACAAUGCGAUGGAGGGAGGGAAUUAAUGUGGGAUAUUGCUUAGUGCUUACGAAGGAUUGAGUUGAGCUGUCGUGCAACCAGCACAUAGAAGAACAAAUGCUGCCCACUGGAUUUCACUUAACCUGAAAGGACAGGAAAGACACGGAAUAAAUAUACAUGCACACAGUGAAAUACUGGAAACAGGGAACCAUACUGGUGAAGCAAAGAUUGUGAGAAGUUCCAGGAAGGUGAAGAAAACAGAAGUUGUGAUCAGCUAGAAGGCCAAUAACACAGAGGCAAUAGUUCUUUUUUUGUCAGCUCUGGUAUCUGCCAUAGGCAAAGAUUUGAAAUUCUAGUUCUGCUUCUAAUCCAAGCCAAGCCAUGAUGGAUCAACAAAAUAAACUGCAAUCAUGCUACGUAGGGCUCCCAUUCCUAUGGUAAAGCAUAAUGUAGCGAUUAUUUCCAGUUGCUCAGAAGAUACUAACUUUUUCUUCAAAAUGAUGCGGUACAAGACACCAGUGCUGAUGAUAUUCAGGUUCUUCAAGAUCUGGUAUGCUGGUGCGUCCACAUAAGCAAAGAUAUAGUACUGGCACAUAACAUCAAAUGGAAGGGUACGUCAACAUGCUAAACAUCAUGCAAUUAAAUUGGUCAUAUCACAGAAGUACCAAACGUACCUGCAAUAAGUUCUUCACCAUAUAAAGAACAGCUGGAAUCGGAUAUACACUGACUUCAUCAAAAGAUGUGGUUAACCUGAAAAAAAAAACAAAAUCAAAUGGCAGCUGAACAACUAAAUCUAACAGAGCAACAGUUAUAGACCAGUGGCGGAGCUUCAACAUAAAUCAAGGGGGGGCCAGUUAUGUGUAAUCAAUGGGAUUAAGGGUAAAAUUACAUAGUUAUCUACUUUUGAUUACUGUCACUCAAAGGGAAAUUAUAAAGUGAGGGGGGGCCAUGGCCCAUCUUGGCCUGCACUAUCCUCCGCCAGUGUUAUAGACCAACCGCCAGUCUCAGUUUGAUAUAUUCAGGAAAAAAAAUCACUAUACGUUUUAAAUUUCUUUGGAACAUAAGACCAUGUCAUGUUAAUUUACUUGAAUUGGUAAAUCAGGCUUCUAAUGGUCUACUCCAGCCUAAUGUAAAAAAAUAUAAUUAUAUACCCAUGAAAUGUAGAAAGUGAGCACGAGGAACACAGUUGCCAGAAUGCAGCGCUCACCUAUUAUCAUCAGUAACACCAUGGCGGUUCCAUGUCCUAAAUAGAGCAGCUAGUGAUAGAAGGCAUUUUAAAGCCUCGACCUAGACAUAUACGUAAAAAAGUUACUAACAGAAGAUUGUGCUGAAAGAACAAAAGAGGAAAAAUCUGACAAUCCAGUGGGCACAUUAGUUCAUGCAAAUUGAUGGACAAUCUAAAUAUAUACAAUAUACAUCUCGAGACAUAAUUUUCUCACCGAAAAAUUAGCUGUUGUGACACUAUAUUCAUACUUUCCGGCUCUUUUUGACCACACAAUUAAUAUUGCCUGAGAACUUGUUAGCAGCGUCAAUGCAAGAGUAACAACAGACCUGUCACGACAUAAAGAUAAGAUGUCAGAUAAUAUUGAAGGAAGUGAUUGUAAAGAAAGGUUGAGGGAAGCAGGACUUACUUUAGCUUCCAACUAGACUUGCCUUUUGCACCUCCUGCAGAACUGAGACCACUAGCUGUAGCUGACAGAAUCAACAAUAAGUUCCACGUUGUACAAAUAAUAAGAGAGCAUUUCGACAACAAUGUAUCAAUAACUUACUGUUUGCGCUAGAUAGCGACCUCCCACUGAGGCUUUCUACAUCCUUCUGAGAUAAAUCAUCAUAACUCUCCUUCAGGGACAGAAGAUACAUUAGAGACUGCUCUAGAGAAAUAAACGGUUGGUGUAGUGAAUAAAAACAAAUAAAAGCAAUGGCCACGCUAGUUACUGCUGAUUUUCUUUUCAUGUGGUUACCUACGGUUACGGGAGACAGGAACUGGAUCAAAAUUGGUCAAAUCCAGUUAAAACCCUACAGAUCAUGAUUUGUGCAUGCUGGUCCAGUCUUUUCACCCUUCAAGUGUUAUAAAUAACAGAUACACCAUUUUGCGAAGCAUCAGUUUAUCAGUUCACUCUUUAGGUAGUCCGUCAUAAAUGACAGAAUUCCAAGUUCGAGCAGUCGUUGACAUCAUCAGUGAGUCGAACUUAAAACAUAAAAUGAGCUAAGUCACAAUGUUUUUUAGGUUUGGACUGCCGUUCCGACAGUUUUAGCUUUGCAAGCAGCCAGCCAAUUAUCAGGUAGUGACUUAUACUUUUACUCCCUACUCAACUGGGAAACACAAAGCUGAACUUGGUUACUUGGGAAAGAACUACGACAGACUUGUCACUUCACCCAAGGCCCACAACAUUAUUCUAGAAAGCUAGUAUUUGACAGUGCACACACAAUUGCUUGCCUCUGUUGUUCGAAUCAUCUCCAAAUUAACCAAUACCACAAACUGGGCUCACUGGAAAUGCAGUCGUGUAUUCUGAAUUUAUACCAAAACGAGUGGUGGCAAGAGCAUGGCCAAUCUGAGAGAACAAUACAAUCUUAAAAUUCGACAGCAUUGCCAAUAGCAGUUAUCCAGCACAUGGAAAACGACCUGACUCCCCAAACAAUAUUUGCAAGCAUGUCAAUCCCACGCACAUUCACCCACAACACCACAUUUUAACAACGACAGUUACAGAAAUCUACCGCCCAGGUACCGAUUACCAGUAGAUUACGAACCCUAGGAUAAGACAAUGCUAAGAGGGAGAAAAGGGGAGAAUUUCUCCUAGAUCGAAGGGGCUGCAGAAGGGACCUAAUCGGAGGGGCGCAUCGAAUCUGAUAAAUUCCUCUCGGGGUUUGAGGCCUUUUGCAGUUGCUAAUCCAGACACGGGAUUUACCUGAUCCUUCACCCUCCUGUACUCCAUCGCCGCCUCUCCGCUUCGUUCCGGCUUGGAAGCGCUUGGGAUUUGAGGGGUCGAGGGAGAGCGCCGCCGCGCGCGGCGUGUGGGAAGGCCGGUGUGUGGGUCCCGGGCCAAGGUGACACGGGCACGGGAGCCGAGGAGCGUGUAGUGUGGUGUGGACUGUGGAGCAGCACGGCGGAGAGCCGGCGAGGGCUGGAAGCGUAAAGAGUGUGCGUGGCAAAUCUGUAAUUUUCCUGGGUUCAGUGAUACUUUCGCCUGUCAGCCUGUGCGCCAGCUAACAGCCUAACAUGAUGAUAGCGAAAGAGCAAAAUGUGAGUAUAAAAACUUUGAAUACUACAGAGUCCUAUAAAGUUAUAAUAUAACUUCUAAAAAGUUUGUACGUAUAGCAUUUUUACGAUAAUCCUUUUACCUACGGUUAAUCUCUAUCAGCAACUCCUAUUGGUGAGCUCCCACUGCCACCAUACCUUGUACCUUAGAGGGAGGAACAUAGGGUGGAGCUAGAGGGAACCAACCUAUCAUAAGCCACCGCUAAUAGAGUUUUGCAUCCCAUUUUAGGAGGUAGGAAAGGAUUUAGGAUUGCUGGAUUGGGAGGUCACGGCGUGAAUUUUUGACGUUCACAUCUGAUCCAAUGGAUACAAGUUGUUCAGCUGCUCAAGUUUUAUUCCUUUCGUCGAAAAACGCAGGACAACCGAAAUGUAUCGAUCACGUGUCGGCUACUCCCUACUGCACCACAUCCAUCGGUCCAUAUUCUCUCCACCUCGUUUAUUUGGUUUGGCUUCCGUCAAAAGAAUUAGUACGAGGCAAAACAUUAUCUCAACUCCCAACCCUAGCCCCUAGACUCACAAAAUUGCUUCUGAGUGUUUGGAACCAAGAACAUCCAUUAAUCCCGCUUCCCCAGCUAAAUCAGUCUAACUCAUUUUCCUGGGAUUAUGCAUCGAAUUCAUUUUUUUCCUCGAAUAUGUACGAAAGCUGCGCAUCAUUUUUAUUAAGAUGAAAUGAAAAUCGAGAAAGAAUGUUUACAUCAUCACAGUGCUGGAUCCCAACCCUUGAAGGGUGUUUGGAUCCCGGAGCUAAAGUUUAGUCUGUGUCACAUCGGAUAUUCGGAUGCUAAUUAGGAGAACUAAAUAUGAGCUAAUUACAAAACUAAUUGCAGAACCCCUAGGCUAAAUCGCAAGACGAAUCUAUUAAGCCUAAUUAAUCCAUCAUUAGCGAAUGUUUACUGUAGCACCAUAUUGUCAAAUCAUGGACUAAUUAGGCUUAAUAGAUUCGUCUCGCGAUUUAGCUUAGGGGUUGCGAAAUUGAUUUUGUAAUUAGCCUAUGUUUAAUACUUCUAAUUAGUGUCCAAACAUUUAAUGUGACAAGGGCUAAAAUUUAGCCCGAGGAUCCAAACACCAACAACCGACUGCUAGUACCUACUAUUCUCUAUUUAGUCACCCAACCGGGAGGCUUCUGCCUCAAUCCAUUAGAGCACCUCCUUUCUGAUUCCCCUCAACAGCUCAUGCACCGUCGCGGCUCGGCUGUCGAAUGGGCGUGCGUUGCGUUCAUCCCACAAGCUCAAUAUGAUUAGCAUGAAGAGCGUAUCGAUUAGCAUUAGCGUAGGUGCUCGUCGUUCAACUCAAAAUUAUCUUUCCACAAAGAUGUGUGGUGAGUGUGGAUUAAAACAUUGGUGUUAGCAUGCAGCAGACCACUAUCAUAUAUAACGACACAAUGCAAAUUAUACAUGACGCGGGCACGAGACGCACGUCACGUGCAUUGUGAUCAGAACGAUUGAACGAAAUUAAACACACUGCCGGAAGGAAAUAAAGUUUCCGAGUCACCGUCGUAGAAGACGUUGCACAGCUGACGCGAGAACUUGCGAUAGCAUGCGUGCAUACCGCAUACGCUUCCCGUGAUGCACCCAACGGUCACAAUGCACGGUCGAAAAUGGAGUACUAGCAGUAAUCAAUACUGGAGCACGCCGCAUAGUACCAAAAUAAUUGCCUAGGACUCUAGGAGUAUACAGUAUCGAUCAAAACAUGAAUUAAACGAAGCCAUCGGCAGCACGUCGAUGGGCGACACGCAUGCGUACAACCAGCGGCGCGCAAUAUGCAAGGUCGCGGUCGCCGUCGACCGAUUAUUUCAAAGGCCGCCUCGCCGCCGCCGCCUCCGCCGCCGCCGCCGGCGGCGGCGGCGGGAACUCGUGCUGGUAACUGGCAUACCCCUUGAGGUCCUCGAUGGCGGCUAGCACCUUCUGCAUGUCCCUCAGCGCCUUCUCCUCCUGCCGCGCGAUCUUCUCCUCCAGCUCCCUCACCCGCCGCCCGUCUGCGCCGCCCUCGCCCCCGGACCCGGAGGAGGAGGAGGGGAGGCUGAUGCUGUCCCAGAGCUUCGAUGCCCGCGCCAGGAUCGAGGUGGGCCUCACCGGGCCGACCAUCUCCUCGUACCUGUCCCUGAGCUUCCACCCGCCGAUCCCCCCCGCCGUCGCGAUGCACACGGUCUUCACGAACCGCCAGAACAUCUCGACGCGAUGGUUUCUCGCUCUGUACGUAGCUGUAUCGUCGUCGUCUCGGACCCUCUUGCUUGCUUGCUGGGUGCGUCGCGAUCUGGCUCAGCUAGCCCGACGGGCGACGGGCGAGACGACGACGACCGUGUGCGAGAUGAUGAAGGCGAUGGCGUGCGCGCUGAAGCCGUGGGCGAUUGGGUUUAGUAGUAGUAGCUGCUGUUCAUCGCAGGCGUGGCUUGCGUCGCAAGACGCAAACGGAGUUUGUGUCGUGUGCCCGCCGGACGGCGGCCGUGGUGGGUCCUUACGUGCUUUGGCACGACGGUUGGUUGAGGGAUGGGCUUAAAUGGGCUAUCUUUGAGGUUUUGGGCUUUCCGCGGCGUUCAUGACCCAACAACGCGUCCGGCCCAGCCCAACAACGCGUACCGGCGCGCGCGUGCACGUAGCAUUUUACUUACGAGCGUAUAAUAUACGUGCACGUGUAUACCCUGUACUUUGUACGUCUGGAGGGAGUCUGGCUGGACUGCACGGCGCGUAACGUUUGCACCACGGAAAAAAAGAAAUGGGCUGGGAUGAAGAAGCCCCGGGCUCCGCUUCGAUUACUCGGCCCCCUGCGGGUAGUCCAGCACAUGCGCACGUGCGGCCCACUAAAGCGAGCAUCGGGCGUGGGGGCGCUCCCCUACUUGCGCAGCAGAGUUUAGUACCACCAUGGCUAACUAAUAACGACGAAAACAACAGCUUAUAAAUUGAAGCGUUGCACUAGUCAUCGUCUCUUGAAACGAUACAGAGAAGAUUAGUUUGACCCCACUUCUUUUUCAGCCCCUGCAGCGUGCGGUAUCGUUACAACGAGGUCCCUCUUCGUUUUCGGUUACCUCCAUCCCUUUUUCUUUCUUUGCAGCUGCACCCCUGGAUCGUUACAUAUUGGACCUAGCAACUUCUGCAUAAUCAUGAUAAGGCCCUUACGAGUGUGGCAGUUAAUUACCUGUCACCGAUCUUCAUUCUUUUGUGUCAUUCAUUUUCUUCUUCUGCCUUCCAGAAAUAUAUUCAAGUUACGUUUAGAAUAAUAUGCAUAUAAGUCCAAAUUCUCUAAAGAAACCUGUUUACGUAUCGCAAUUAUUUUUUUCUUGUGCUGCACUCGACAAAGAUCACGAUGUUUGUCAUCCAUAAAAAAAAGACCCUGCUUUUCCCGUCUACAGCUUUUCUUCUCAAUCGGCUAGUCUCACUCUCACAUGCACUCCAUUGCAGUAUAGCACUCUCCUCUCCCCCCGUCUAUAAUCGCUCCUAAAUCAUUUCAUUGUGCUUACCUUCGUAGAGUACUUCGUCAAAAACAGGAGACUGGAGUAGCAGGGUUGAUGUAGUGCAAGCUUUGACUAUUCAGCACAGCUGCACAAGCACAUAUUGCAGCCCAGCCAGCCAUCACACUACACUACCAAAUUUUUGGAGUCAAACAAGACGAUGGCCAAAUCACAGGAACCUGAACAAAUACGACUCGAAUUGUAUAAAUAUUACUCAAUCCAACACAACACACGCAUAAGCUGUCAAAACAAAUUCCAAUCACUUGUUUGCAGGAUUAAUUUGGCAAAUUACACUUUCCUCCAGGCCUUGCUUAAAAGAACGAAACCCCAAUCUGUCCUAAGCGUCUCCCGUGAAGCAGAUGAGUAGUGUACCAGUUGUAGGAAGCAUCUCUAACUUAGGUGACGAAACCUGCGGACAUUUCUCGAGCUAGGAUUGGAUCACGUCACCUCGAUUUCUCAGCCAUCCGAUCUUACAUCUACGGUGAAAACAAGAUCGCACGAGUGGGCAUUGUCUCAGGCCAGCUAGCUUCGCGUUCCACCUCACGGCUUGUGAGUUGCGAGCGGCCGGCUUCCACGCCGCAGUAGCAGCUUCGAUGCCGUUGACAGGGGGGAAGGGGUGGAUAUCAAUUUGCUCCACCUGCUCACCAUGAUUAGUUUGUCCUGUACAAACCGAUGCGAAGAUUAUGCAGCAGCCAGCAGGAGCUUCCAGCUUGCAAACUAAUUCUUACUCCAAAAUGUGUAAGCUUAAUUGUACAAAUUUCCCUAGGUGGUGCCUGUAGCUUUCCUAUAUUAUAUCUCACAAAUAGUUGCACCUAACUUCUUAUACUGUACAGUGUUGUUCAGAACCUCAUACAACUCUGAGUGAUAAUUUUCUUAAACGCAACCAUUCACUUAAAAAGGACUUGAACUUCUACGGAGAGACGAUACGCUCGCCAAAACCUCCAUGAUUAGUUUGUUAGGUGCAGCAUCUCUGUAUAACUGAACUUUUUGAGUUCAAUGCAGGAAUAGGCUUCUGGUAUAGCAUUACUGAAUUUUGUGGACUUGACACCGGAAUGUGACACCAAGCUACAACGCAUGAUGAAGAGUUGGGCAAAGGCAAUGCUAGAAAAUGAAAAAAGCUAUGUUCAGAAGUGUUCUAACUUGAUCUGGAUGACCUCCAUUUCUAUACAACAGUCAGCUUGGAGAUUGCUCCUAAAUCAUUUCAUUGUGCUUAACUUCUUAGAGUACUACGUUGAUGCGGCCAUAAUUUUGUGAUAAUUUUUGUGCUUUUCCCCUGGUCCGACCAUGCAUAUGCUGUUUUUUAGUCUAUCAUGGUUUGAAUUAAUGUCGUAGCAUAUGCAAAAUCUGACUUUAAUUUACCUCUUUUAUUGUUAACCAUAUAGGAAAACCAAAUGGUACACUUAUCGUUGUUGCAUUUAGUUUCAUUCUCAUUUCACUUUCACGUUACUUAUAUAUAUAAACCUGAUUUGCUUCAGUUGAUGACUACUACAUCCAUAGCUCCUCGAACCUCUGUAUGUGCAUGUAUUUAUUAGCUUGAUGAAACUUUCAGUUUACUGAUUCGAUCUUGCAAAAUUGCUAGACUAUUAGUUUCUUCACGAUUCAAUGUGACAGAUUAAAGGUGACACAGUGUUGUUCCCCGAUGCAUGACCAUAUCCCAUGCAUUGCCGCACGGGUGACUAGUGGGAAAAAAACUGGCCCAAUCCGGCCGUGUCUAAAGUUCUAGUGGUACUAGAUGAGUGCCCGCGCGUUACAACGGGGUCAUAAUUAUACGUGUAGGAGUGAUUUAGUUAAAUGAUAGCGUCAAAGAAUCAACUCCUCAUAGUUAAAAAAAAAAGAAUCGACUCAUCAAUCAUUUAUUAAAUUAUACGUACGCAAUACGUGCAUUCAUGUACGUAAAAUUGUAUGGAUGAUGUAUAAAUAACAGUAUGACACAAAAAUUAUAAAAAAUAAAAAUUACAGAUCCCGUACUUAUUGCAAAAGUGUAACAUUCAUCCCUUAUAUUUUAAUUGGUGCAAAUCAAUCUCUUAACUAAUUAUAUUGGUGCACUAAUCAUCCCCUAACUUAAUAAUGGUUUAGUGCCAUUUAAUGACGAUUUAUGCCACAUAAUCGUCUGACCAAUCACUGCUUAGCAAUUUGAUGCCAAAAUGGCUACCCAUAAAAUAUUUUUACGAAAAAAUUAACAGAACCGAUCUGUUAUAGCGAUUGACUCAACCUAAGACGUGGCUAAGCAAUGAUUAGCAAGAUGAUUACAUGACUAAAACUGUUGUUAAACUGUUGUUAUAUGAUACUUAACCAUUGUUAAACUAAUAUGGGGAGAAUAAAUUCACCGGUUUAUGUUUAGUUAAGGGGUUAAUUGCACUAAAUGCAAUAUUGGAGAAUACAUUUUUUUCCCUAGAGAUACGUGUCUAUGGGUUUCUGCAUGCGAGGUUAAGGAUGAAAGUGUUUGGGAAAAAAAUUUAACCCCCUCCUUUGGUUCUGUAUAUUUACCAAUAAACAUAAUAAGAGCUGGUCGGGAAAGGCGAAAUGAAACAAUUGGGCCAGGAAACAUGUCGACAUCUGUUGGAAACCAAUUCAAAUAUGAAAGACCAUUUAUUGAUACACCAAAAAUUAAUGUUUUUUGACAUUAGUCUUGCACAUAUUUCAUGUGCGAGUAUAUGUCUUAUGAGUAUACAGCCGAACACAGUGAUUUGCAAAGAAAAAAUGGAAAAGGAAACAAAAGAAGAAAGGGUCACCUGAUCCUCUUCGGUGGGCUUUAUGGGCCACCAUGCACAGAGCGACAAGCGGUGCUGCGCUUGCAGGCUGCUGCCCACGUGCAUGCACGAGCUAGGUAGGCAUGCUCACGGCGGAACCGUUCGGCGCGGCGCGCGUGCGGUACGGAGCCGGGAAAAAAAAAAAGAAAAGCAAAGCGGGCAAGCGGAGGAGCGGUUCGCGGCGGACCGACGAGCAGCGACACGUAGUUGUAGAGAAUAGCACGUCAUGACCAACCAAUUUUAUCUCUACUUAGGCCUACUGUAUGCCUAUUAACCUGGCAUAGUCCACCCACCUGCAAAGAGAAGUAUAAUCAGUAAGUGAACUGAUCAAAACAGACAGCAGUGACAGCCUCCUUAGGGUAGAGAAUACUCACAGACAAGAACCCAAAAAUGUGUUCCCUGUCCGAACUGCAAAACUCAUUGCGGUCAAUGCUAGUUUGUGGCGGUGCAGUAGUGGCUCGAGCAGUCGUUGUUCAAUCACUCCAGCCACAAUCUGGUACCUGUUGAAACAUGUUCAAGAACAAAACAAUAAGCACCAAAUAGACUAUCAAUAUGUUUAUGGAUGAUUAUUAUGCCAUCUACUGUAAGGAGUUGACAGUGAGCAAUCUUUUCAUUUCGGUGGACAAUAUGCAAUUAGCAUUUGGCACUUCACAAUAACAACAACGCAAUGACAAGGACUCGUACGCAUACAACCAGAAGUGUACAAACAUUUGCUGUCAUACUUAAAUUCAAAUAUCAAAGAGCAUAUUAUGAAUUGUACAGUAGCUUGCAAUGAUCUAAAAUAAAAAAUCAGGAAUGAACAAAAUAUCCAACAAAGAACAAAGAGCAGUCAGACAUUUGCAUUAGCCCUUUCCAUCAGCAGCAGUCAAUUCAGGAUUUUAUGCCCUUGAGGAAAUCUUUCAGUUUCACACAAUAUCGGUUGGAGCAUGUAAAAAGUUUCAAUAAUCCUAGAACAACAUUCUACCAUUUUGAUCCCCAAAAAUAUGCAUGUUUGCAUGUCCUGGACUCCUAAAGUCCUAAUGCAUCAUAUAUUCAUAGCUUCCUAACGUCUCGAUUGGAAUGAGGCAGUCACUCUAAAUAGAGGAAUUAAACAUAAAAUAAUCACUGAGAAGUUCAUCCAUGGGAAUAAUUAACAAUUGGCACAAAUUAAAUAUCAACAGGGAAAUUGUUUGAGAUGAUGAUUGUUACCUGAGGUUACUAGAAAUUGACAUGUACACGCCAUACGCAAUACUAGUUUCUACAAUUGGAAUAUUCUUGGCUUCCUUGACUUCACCGGCAGAAUCCGAGCUGACAGCCUGCCUUGCUUUUAUCAGUGCAUUGGUCGCAGUAGUGCCGAUCUGAGGGGGAAAAAAAUGAGGACACAUCUGUAAGCUUGCAAAGUCUUGAAAACUUGCCUUGACAUUGACUAGACAAUUAUUUCUGUUAUAUGAACAAAAACUAAAUAGUAUAUCAAUUUACCACCUUGACCUGAUGAUUUACUUAAAAGAACAAAAGACGCUCUGACUGGAAGGUACAUUGGUCAUCAGUUUUACCAUUAAUCAAAAUAUCUGAUACUUUUAGCUUGGACGUCAGAGUAUACACAGAUACUAAACUAUAUAUUUUUUUCACAGACGCAUAAAAGUUAAUAAAAUAAUUAGGUUCGUAAACUCCAGGGCUCAAGGUUUUCCAGUUCUCAAUUACAAUCCAUAACAUACAUGCUUACAUUAAAAAGGUAAAGAUGGUUCAAGCAUUUCCUGAAUUAGUACCCUGCAUAACAUUUUUUAGCUAUUAUUUCCUGCUUAGCACGAAGAAGUUUAGAAAGGAAACAAUGGCUCUACUGUUGCCAUUUAAGAGUAAGUCAAAAUAGACUGCUAGUGUUUGUGAGAAAAAAGUACAUCCGCAUCCUGACAAACUUACCAGAGAGGCACUAGUUCCCACUGCAAAAAGUUUUGCACCAUUCCUCUGAAACAAGCCAAAUUGUCAGUUCGUAAUAAAAGACCAUUAAAGCUACUCAAAUUCAAAUUGAUUGUGAGCAACAUAACAAAACAAAUAAAUUCAACUUUACCACAAUAGCUCCCGCUCUCUGCAAAAGUGUGUAUGAUCUCCCAGCCAAAGCAACCUACAGCAGAAAGUUGCCAAUCUUCAUAUUCAAGUUUAAACCAAAAAAAAGCAAAAUUUUAAUGUAUACAAUAUAUCACAGGAAAGGGGAGGGAAUGAACCUAAGGAACUUGAUCCAAUUAAAUGGGAGGUAAAGAUCAGGAUACCUGGAAGGCAUUAUCUGGGCAGUUGUAGAAGAAUUUAGAAAUGGCUCCAGAAUUCAUCGCUAGUGGUGGCCGCAAAGACACGGUUGGAGCAGGAAGCCAUGCAAGCAUGAAAUCUGCAACUAUUGCCAUGAUCUGGAAAGUAUUUGGAACUACAGAUUAAAAGCUCUGUAAAUAGAAACCAAUCAAUCAAUAAAGAACUAUCAUUAACAACAAAGAUAUUUGAGUUAGCAGGGAUGAAAGGCUGAAAAUUUCUUGAAUUGCCAAUAACUAUGGUUCUCCACACUGAUUAACCUUCAACUGAAAAGGCAGAAGUUGGGAAGUUCUUUGAAACAAUAUUUGGGCAAGGGGUAAAGAAAAAUAAACUUGUAAGAGAUUAAUUGUAAUUGAUAUCGCUUUUACAGUUGACGUAGCAAAACCAAUUUAGAUGUUACUAUAACCAAGUAUGAAAAAACAAAGGCAAUUCACUGCCAUUAUUACUGCUAUUUCAGAACUUCCAAACUAUAUCCUUUUUGGCCAUAGCUCUUAUAGGGCACAUACAGUGAACGCAUCAAGAAAUCCAACAUUUAGGUGUUAACAUCUUAUGCUUAUUUAUUUAGUAUCAAAUAAAUUAUAUUUUCUUAUUAUUUAAUUGUUUCUAGUCUUUAUCUUUAAUGAUAAUACUCAAGACAUUCCGCUUCCUCCUGCCAAUGACCAUGCACAUCAGCCUGCAUACCGUCUGCAAUGCAGGUCGACACUGCUGCUGGGAAGUCUCUAUCCUAUGCCUGGUUUUACAGUAUUGAAGGAACAUGCCUAGCUGAGUAUAACGGCAAAAGCAAAAAGGACUUAUAGAAGCAUACCACAUUUGCAAGCACAAAGUCAAGCUCUUUGACAAAGUUCUCCUUCCUUUUCUCAUACUCUGCAGCACUCUAGCAAAUUAAAGGAGUUCUGUCAAAUUAUAUGUAACUUGCAAACUAAACACAAAAACAUCUAAAUGAAAGUUAAGAAAAGUGGGGGCACAAAAGAAGCAUUCAGGCAUACUGCUAAAAAGAAUAAUAGGAUUAGAAAGAUGUAGCAUAUGGGCGUCAAAUAGAAACAUAAUGGUGUUCCCAACUACUUAAAACAAUGGAGUUGGCAGCAUUGGUGUGCCUUCCCUAUAUUUCCCUUUAUUUAACCGCCCCCUGCCAUUGCACACAAAUUAGUUUCACCUCCUGCACAAAUCUUCUCUAAAAUCAUCGUGUAACUGAGGUCAAAUUUUGUUUCCCUCCUCUCAAUGCUCGCUAGGAAGAAGAAAGUGAAGAAAAAAUUGGAGUGCAGGUGGUUGAGGCAAAAGGUGUCAUAUAGCAACCUGUACCUGUUAUAUACUCAUACUUGUUUUAUUCGAGUACAACAAUGCUGUUAACCCAAGCAUACACCUGCAUGCACUUUUUCUGGUUUGAACAGUUGAUGUAUAUUCUCCAACCAUGUAUCUACCAAAAAUUUGUGUGCCCCAAGGUUUCCAUCCUGUUGCAACUGGAUUUGCAUCUGGCAGAUAGGACGACCACAUAUAAAGCCAACAGUGGACCACUACUGCAUAUUGGCAAUGGCGUGUGGUACACAUAACACUAAAGCAAGUGAAAGAUGCUACUUUUAUUCUCCCUUUUGUGUUAAUAAAGUGACAUUUGAUUUUGCUUUUAUGGGGAAAAAGUAUCAAGAUUCCAAUUAUAUUAUUCCCCAUGAAUUAAAAGAACAAAAGGCAUUUGGCCGCAUAUGAUAUAUUCCAGCCCAUUUCUAAACUCCAAAACAAGCAGGCCCAAGCACCCGUCAUUUUGACUGAGAUGGAGCAAUGCCAGAAUUGGACACGCACCACCCAUCGGAUCCCAGCCCCGAGUCCCUAAACGAAUAUGAGCCUAAAAUUGGCCUGGCAUCUAAAGCCCAGAUCACAAAAGGCUUGACACCUACAGUCAGCCAAACCCCAUCGAACCAAACCACAUCUGAUGAUCUGAAUCACAAACCACAGAAAAGAAACAAUUAACCGAAACAAAAAAAAUAACUGGGAAAUUCCCGCAGACCUUGGUGAAGACGCCGAUGCCGCACUCUAUGCCGACCUUGGUGAGGAAGAGGUCAUCAGCGAGUAGGCGCUCCUUGAAGCCGCCGAACUGCAGCAGCCACCUGGAUAAGGGCGACGCCUCGAGGUCCACGUACCGGCGCACGAUAUCGCCGGUCACGCGGCCGCCCUCCACGGCGGCGGCGAGGUCGGCCGGUAGGCUCUCGAGCUUCCGCCCCAGCUGCGCCAGCACGAACAGGGCCUCCCUCCUGUUGCCAGAGGCGUCGUCGCCGUCCCCGGACCCGUCCGCGCUGCCGCCGUCGCCCUCGUCUCCUCCGCCGCCGCUGCCGCCGUCGCCCUCGUCUCCUCCUCCGCCGCUGCCGCCGUCGCCCUCGUCUCCUCCUUCGCCGCUGCCGCCGUCGCCAGAGGGUAGUUCGUCAUCGCCGCCGCCGCCAGAGGGUAGUUCGUCAUCGCCGCCGCCGCCGAUGCUGCCGCUGCCAGAGGAGGCGACCGGGAGGGGAAGGAGGUGGGGCCGGGCGAGGCGGAGCGAGGGGAGGAGGAGCGGCAGGGUGCGCCGGAAGGGGAGGAGCGGCGGGAUGCUGGGGAGGGGCUGGAGGCGGAGGUGGAUUGGGGCGGGGUAGCCGGAGGAGGAGAGGGAGGUGGGGGAAGGGAACGCCAUGGCGCGUGGUGAGCGGCGGCCGUGGGCGGGGUGGGAGUGAAGUGGUGAGCGGCGGCCGUGCGCGGUGGGGUUUUCGUUGGGGAGGGGGCGUGGACUCGAAGCCAGAAGGCCCGUGGUUGUUGGGGUUGACCGUGACUGCCACCGGGGAGGACGGAGGGAGGAACCGCGCGAGACCGUUUCUUCGAUAGAUUGGUGUUGGUGGCCUGCCUGCCUGCCUCUCUUCGAUGGAGGGAAAUCGGAAUAUAUUUCCUCCAUUUCAAAUAAUAAGUUAUUUUAAAAUUAUAAAUAUUAUCAUGUACUACUACAUCUAAUGCAUAGAAAAACUAUGCACGCUAAAACAACCUACAAUUUGAGAUGGAACGAGUAGCUUUCAUUCUUCACUCAUCGAUCGUAAUUUUAACUAGCAAAUUAGAGCAUCAAUAACUCCUGUUCAACACCGCAGUUCAAGCACUAACUAGAGACAUAUCCGACAACACUCUGUUGUUUUAUGAACACGGAUGAAGCUGAGUCAGCAAACAGCCAACCACAAUUUAAAUUUAAACUGGUUUAGUCGUUACAUGAUGGCUUUUUUGACAUGGUGCGAGAUAUCUGGAAAAGUGCGCAACAAGGAAACACACCUUUAGAGAAGUGGCACGGGAAAAUUAGAUGUUUGCGAUAAUAUUCGAGGUGAUGGGCAAAAAAGUAUUAGUGGUAUAUAAAGAAAAGAAAAAAAAGACACUCUUAUCACCAAAUAUUAUAAGAUGUUUGGGCUACCGGAUAACAACUUUGUGUCGAUAAGGCGCUCCGUGACGAUAUCCUCAAGUUUCACCACGUGAACAUGAUCUUCAAGUAGCAUCUUUUUCUGAAAAUGGGAUAAAAGAGGUUAUUUUUCAAAUAAAAAGUAACACUGCUCCCGAUCUAGAUGGCUUUCCACUAGUGUUUUAUCAAGUUUUUUAGACUGUGAUAAAGGAAGACUUGAUGACUCUAUUUGAGAAAUUCCAUAGGGGCACGCUGCCCCUUCACUCUCUCAACUUUGGAACAAUUAUCCUACUACCUAAAAGUAGUGGCGCAAAGCAAAUUCAAUAAUAUAGACCUAUAUGUUUGUUGAAUGUUAGCUUCAAAAUUUUUACUAAAGUAGCCACUAACAGAGCUGUGAGUCAUUAAACCCACUCAAACAGCAUUGUUGCCUGGAAGGAACAUUAUGCAUGGAAGGGGUCGUGAUUCUCCAUAAAACAAUACAUGAGUUCACACAAAAAAAAACAAAAUGGUGUGCUUUUUAAGAUAGACUUUGAAAAGAGCUAAUGACAAAGUUAAAUGGGAAUUUUUAUCGCGGUCACUUAGAAUGAAGGGUUUUGCCCCAAAGUGGUGCGAGUGGGUUAAAUCGUUUGUACGAGGGGGCAAUGUGGGGAUAAAGGUGAACGAUCAACCAGGAUCAUACUUCCAAACAAAGAAGGGACUUAGGCAGGGUGAUCCUUUAUCUCCAAUAAUUUUCAACAUCACUGUUGAUAUGUUGGCAAUCAUCGUGGCUAGAGCUAAAGAGGAUGGUUAGGUGAAAGGGGUAGUACCAAAUUUAAUCGAUGGUGGUUUGUCAAUUCUCCAAUGUACAGAUUGGUUUGUCAAUUCUCCAAUAUACAGAUGAAACAGUUAUUUUAAUGAACCAUGAUACUGAACAAGCAAAAAAUAUGAAGCUUCUCUUUUAUGCCUUUGAACAACUAUCAAGUCUUAAAAUUAAAUUUCAUAAAAGUGAAAUUUUCUGCUUUAGGGAUGCAAGAAACUGUGAAACUCAAUAUUCACAACUUUUUGGUUGUAAAAUAGGUUCUUACCCUUUUCGUUAUUUGGGGAUACCAAUGCAUUAUAUAAAAUUUUCAAACAAAGAUUGGAAGGUGAUAGAAGAUAGAAUAGAAAAAAUUAAGCGGGUGGAAAAGAAAACUCCUAUCCAUGGAGGGAUAUUUAGUCUUGAUAAACUCAAUUCUCUCUAGUUUGCCUAUGUUUAUGCUUUCUUUUUUUUAGUCCCGAGGGGAGGGGAGGCCUAAAAAAAUUAAAUAUUAUAGGUUGUGGUUCUUUUGGCAUAAUGAUCAACACAAAAAGAAAUAUAGAUUGGUCAGAUGGAACAUGCUACAUCAACCAAAAGAACGGGGGGAUAGGGAUUCAAGAUUUAGAUGUACAAAAACAAGAUUCACAUUUUUUGUCAAGUCUAAUGGGAAAAAAGAUGAAUUCCUCAAUCUAGAAAGGUUUAAGCUAGUUAACGGCAACCAAAUCAGAUUUUGGGAAAAUAAAUGGUUAGAUACCCAAAAGCUGUAAGCACAUAGUACGGAAAAAAUGCAACUAUGGUGGAGGUACUUAGUUGGAAACCACUCAAUGUCUCCUUUCGAAGAGCUAUAGUUGGGGACAAGUUAGCUGAGUGGUAUAGCCUUGUUACACAACUUGCCCAUAGUAAUCUAAAUGAGGGGAUGGGUUUUGUAUGGAGCUUACAGAAAAAUGGAGCUUUCACAGUAAAUUGAAUGUAUAGGCACCUAGUCAAUAAAGGGAUGAAAGCUACACAAGAAAUUUGGCAUAUGAAGAUUCCUCUCAAAAUAAAAAUUUUUAUGUGGUAGGAGUGAUACUAGCAAAAGACAACUUAGCUAGAAGGAAUUGGAAUGGUAGUAAAACUUGUUACUUCUGUAACAAGCUAGAAACUAUCCCUCACCUAUUUUAUGAGUGUCAUUAUGCAAAAUUUCUAUGAAUGGUAGUAAAACUUGUUGCUUCUGUAGCAAGCCAGAAACUAUCCCUCACCUAUUUUAUGAGUGUCAUUAUGCAAAAUUUCUAUGUCUUAUAAUUCACAUUGUGUUAGGUAUACCUCCAUUUGAAAGCACAUAACAUCUUUUUAGUAGCCGGUCUAAGCUGGGGGUGGAGCACAAUUUAAUUUUUUUGAUAGGAGCUGCAACUAUUUGUUGGGCAAUUUGGCUCAUAAUAAAUGAUUGCAGACCAAAAACUUUUUUUGCAGGCUGGCUACGGUUCUAGGUUCUGUUGCAGCACAUUGAUGACCGGAUAUUAUGAUUUGUCAAGAUAUACCAACUUCUGGAGUCUAGAGCUAUGCAUUUCUUCGCGCCCUAUGGAUGGUCUUUCUUUUUUACGAAUUGGACAAUAAUGUUAAACACAAUGUGUGUUAAACUUUGAGUGUGCUUGCAAUAUCGGUGGUUUGAUGCCUCUCCUUUGAGAGGUAUAUAUGAAGCCGGGAGUUUUUCCAUUACCUAAAAAAUGGUAUCGAUGCUCUCAUUUCUUAUGUACACGUGGUCACUAAGAAAAGGCUUUCUUCCUUAUUUUCCAAGUUUCCAGUACCUGCACAUGAUAUCAAGUGACCUUUUUGUUUUACUAUUUUUGUUCAUGUAUCCUGGACGCAUAUUCGCAAGAAAAAAAUGUAUCCUGGACGCAUUAGUUUAACUUUUUAGUAAGUAUUUACCGCCACAUGACAUGCAAUAAAGACACAGUUUUGUGGAUGCUUUUAGUUUCUUAGCAAGAGAGACAGCACGAGCGACUUGCGCGGGUGAGCGGGAAGGCUCAACAACAGUAAUCUCAGCUCGAGGUGUCAAUUUUCUUUCUUUUGUAGAACUAAAUGUUAAGUGCAGUUACAUAUUUCUCUAAGCAUUUGGAGUGCGUGGAACUAACCUAUCUAGAGAGAUAUGGUAAUGUUUUAGUCAAGCGAUAAUUGUAUUCGAGUAGCAACUUACAUAAUGCUUUUGGCAUGAAAUAUUAAUAUAAAUUAUAUUGGAUUGUUAUCAGCAUUGGUAUGAAACAUCUUCGCGGUUGUCAAAAGGCAACCAAUAUGCUUAUUGCUCUACGUACAUGUAUGCAUGAUCUCCAUGGUGGCAUGCAAUGCAUAUAUACUUUAAUUUUCUCAUAUAUUUAAUAAUGGUAGAAGUAAUUUAGAAGUAUAUAUAUGGGUACUUUGAUUAUUUUUCAGAAUGGCAAACUAUGGAGAAUUUAGAUGCAAAUUUAUAGUAUUAAUAUUAUUUUUAAUAAAUAAUUAAUAGCAUAUAUGGAUAAUUUAGAUACAUAAUUAUAACAUUCCUUUAUAUUAUGUUUUUCGCGACCAUGCCUUAGCACGUUUUUCACUAAGAGGAGAAGAAAUUACAGCCUAAAUUGAACCAUGCAAAGGAGCACGUUUUUCACUAAGAGGAGAAGAAAUUACAGCCUAAAUUGAACCAUGCAAAGGGAUGGCUCAGUACACAAUCGAGUUACACAGUAUUAUUUUACUCCAUCCGUUCUAAAUUGUAGGUCGUUUUAGUUUUUCUAGGUGCAUUUACUAUGCACUUAGAUAAAGUAUAUGUCUAGAUGCAUAAUAAUAUUUAUCAACCUAGAAAAGGUAAAACGACAAGGGAGGAGCAAGUUACAUAAUUUGCGACCGCACUAGAGUUUGGAAGCUGUAGGAUUUCCGACAAGUGACGGUACCUGCCUGGUAUCAGGUGGCACCCUUAUCAACUAUCAGAGCGACUAGCUGUGCAGCAGUCAUAGAUUGGUUGCUGAAGGUUCUAUUGUUGGUUCUUUCCAAAUCAUCCACCAGGUGAGGACUAUCAAAGAAUCGAGCGCCUGUCUGAACUGUGUGGCAACCAAUUUUCUGACCCGAAGCCACUAGUCAGCAAGCCAGAAGUCCCGGCCGUCCGGUGUCAGCGAGUUCCAGCCAGCCCUUGGUAGCAGCAACCAGCAAGAACCGUCUCUCUGCUGAAAGAGCAACCCAAAAGCAGGUGGGAGAUCGUUUCACAUUCCUGAAGGCAGCAAGCACAUAGAUCGUUAUCUUGCAAGUUGUGACGUUUUCUCCUGUCUGCGGUCCAACAUCGUUUGUAUUAUUUUUCAUAAUUACAGAAGCAGGUACAGUUGUCAGUCUACAAAAUUGUUGGUUGUAUGUUUAAAACAAUUCCCUCUUUCUAGUAUGUCUCCUAAGGAUAAAAUGGAGGCUCCAAAAUUAGUAAUAAUAAGAUGCAAGUGAUAGGUAAGAAGGAACUGUUGAGAUCAAGGAUGACUAUUGACAAAGAUAUUGAAAGAUUACAACAAACAUCUCAAAGAAAGACAUCUAUGAAUCCAUGCAUGAUUUGCUCAUAAAUACAUGAUCAAUGAGAUCACCUCUUUGUCAAUCUGGGCAUAGUUUAACUGCUCUGAUGAUGGGUGCCCGUUAAACUGAAAAAAACUGUACCUAAGCACCUCCCUGCCAUCAUACCGCACCCCCCCCUCUGUCACAAAGAUAUUCAGACGGUGAUGUAUAUCAAUGUCAAGGGGAAGGACUUAUGGAGGGAUACAGUCAGUGAAUACACGCACCUGUGCGCAAACGGCUCGGCUGUAGAAUCCGGCCUAAUUGAUGUUACAUACCGAAUAACGCAGCAGCUGUAUAGAGAUAUGGCCAUACUUGUCCACCUGAUUGAUGAUCUUACUUAUUUCGUAUAGAAAUGAAAAACGGAUAGAUGGGGAUUGAGUUAGUUGUCACCCGCGUAUCAAGAAUCACAUAGAGUAUAAUGAAACGGUUUGAACGGCUUGAGAGUGAAUUACUUAGAAAUUGAGCGUGAGGUAGUCAAACAUGAAGAGCGAGUAGGAUGAGGCGUGUGUAGCUGUGAUACCCUGGCCCUUAUGUCUCUUCUUGCGAGNNNNNNNNNNNNNNNNNNNNNNNNNNNNNNNNNNNNNNNNNNNNNNNNNNNNNNNNNNNNNNNNNNNNNNNNNNNNNNNNNNNNNNNNNNNNNNNNNNNNCCCCCCCCCCCCCCCCCACACACACACCCCAAAACAUUGUUUCUGUGCUCAUCAGCAAGGGACGGAUUAAAUCCGUG
rnacentral:lncRNA from 1 species